GCUUUUAUAUUAGAGUUCUUCCAGGAAUUACUAAAACUAAAAUUACUAUCUUUGGGAAGCGUAAAAACUAAAGUCUAGGUAAGAGAAAGGCAUGAUAUAAAGUUGAGCUGCUGUUUAUCUUGUUCCUACUACACCAAGUUCUAGAGAUUUAUUUUUGAAAACUUACAAAUCACAUGAUGAGUUCCUAGCAUAACAAACUACCUACCACAGCCAUACUUGCUAUAACAUCUUUUACUAUAUUCACAUUGAGUUUGAUCGAGCUGUGUAGACCCUUAGGAGCUUUUCAUGUGGUUAAAUUAAGAUAUUCACUUGCACACAUCUACCACAGCAUUCAUCACCAAUCAUUAAAAUUGCUAAAAAUAUUAUCACUCACUGUCCCGAAUAUUGUUAUUCUCUCUCUCUAAAAAGAUUCAAUGCAGAAGAGGCAUGGGUUAUGCAAAAAUAUGCGAGGAAAUAAAAAGGGGCAAGUGCCCGGAACCUCAGAGAAAGAAAGAAAAAGAGUGAGACGAGAGGUAAAAAUGGACAAGUGUCCGAAGUAGAAUUAGGGGUACAAAAGAUGCCCACUUGAGCAGAAAAAAUGGACAAGUGUCCGACAGUAGAAUUAGGGGUAUCUAUUACCCACCUAGAAAAAAAAAGAGAAAAAAGAAAAAAAAGAUAGCCCAUGUUCUCCCAAAGCAAAGAUCAAAAAGAAGAGGAGAGAUAGCAAUACGAGGAGCAAUGAGAACUAAGUUUUAUUAUCACUUAUGCAUUUUCACCAUCACUAUCAUUUACUCCAUCACACAUGCACAUCUUGAUUUAAUUAUAUGCUGAGUUCCUUUGGAUCCAUGGCUCGAUUAGACAACAUAUGUAUGAGCUGUUUUCCACUCCUAUGAGCUCCACUUAAAUAUUCCAUUAGCUAUAGGAAAGUGACAUUAUGGUAAGGAUCCAUAAAUACCACAUAUAGAGAGACUUGAGAGAAUCAUUGCUGGGAACUCUGAGUUUUAUUUUGAAAACUUAUGAAAAACUCUAGAACAAAGGUGAAGAAUAAACAGGAGGAAUAGUGCUUGACUUAACUAAUUUGUCUUUCGAUUACUUAAGAUUUAAGUGCAGGUACUAAACUCCAUAACACUUCACUAUAAUCUGGAAGAAUUUUUUAUGUAAAAGCAUGUGUGCCUGUCAGGAAAGAAAACAUCGAAGCAACUCCUGAUCCAUCUGAGUUUAGCUGUUUGCUCAGGGACGAGCAAAGGGUAAGCUUGGGGGAGUUUGUUGACGGUCCUUAAGUACUAAAAUUAAUAAUCAAAUAAACAUGAAAAAGGAUCAAUAUGAAACAAACAUCUAGAAUUAGGGUUUUAUCUGACAGAAUUCCACGAGCUUUGGUGUUUAUCUAUUUCUGCAGGGGUUUAUCAGAAAAUAGGGAGAGAAGGCCCACAUGUCAUGUUUACAACGAGAUAAUUACGUGCCGCGCAAUUUUCCUUGAUCUAGAAGGAUCCAGAAGCCACGGGAACGAACGGGACGCGAUUCGGGCUCGGGAGCUGGGCGGCCGCCCACCCCCUUGGGCGCCCGCCCUGGCCAGGAGUUGGAUCAGGACUCUCUCUCGGGACAACUCUCCACCGACCUAAAGGAUCAAUCUAAACCAUACAAUCUAUGUUGGUUUGAUCCAAUGGCUCACGUUCACUUGAGGGGACUAUAAAACCAGACCCCCUGGCCCCUGGAGGAGGAGAGGAGAAAUCAUUAUUCAGAGGUAGCCAUCAAAGUUAGGGUUUAGAUCUCUCUCCCACAGAGAAUUAGAAUUAGCUACUCCCUAAUCCUUCAAGUUUAGAGGUUUGAUUAGAUAGCAAUUAGAGAAGUAGAGCACUACGCUCUGGAUUCGGAUCUUCGGUAAUAAAGAUUGGUAUUAUUCAUAUCUUUCUCUAAUUCUUUGUUCUAAUUGCAUUAUGUCUUUAAUUAUUAUGUUCUUAGUUUGCUCUAGUUCUAUAUUUGAUAUAGUUCUAAUUCAUAAUGAGUUUAUGUAUAAGUUUGCAAAGCGCUUAGCUCUUGUCGCGAGGGAGUUAGGUGAUAGAUCACAUGUGAGCGUGGUGCUUAGAUGUUAUUUAUCUGCAAAUGUAUCCUAUUGGCCGGGUCGUGUGGUAGUUCGCGAUAGUGACAGCUUCGUUGAUUCUUAUAUAGUCCACCCUCCGUUGAUAGGACAGGCAGAACCGGUAUUGUGGAGUAAGUCAUGCGAUGCUCUGAUUUACUUUAUCAAUGUUCCUUAUACAUGAAUGAAGAGUCUUUUAUGCUAUAUAUGAUCUUGUAGAUAACUAGAGUAGAUUAUGACUUAGUAGUUAGUAGAUAACUUAGAAUCCAUUCUCUAGCUAAUCCGACAUCACCUACAUAUAUGAGGAGUAGUCUAUUUUCUAAUCGCUGUGUUAUCUACCCAUGAACUUAUACUUUAUUAUCAUUAUCUUUAUGGUUUACCCCCUGCUAAAGUAAGUGACUGUGUGACGAGUUUCUCAUUUGUAAUCAUGUUCUUGCAAGUUUAUCUCUAGUCAAUGCCUUGAUAGAUUUUGUCCCUUGAUUUAAUUCCAUCUUCUUUAGAUCCCUAGAGCAAAAUUAUAAAUAACGAUACCUAGAAUACUUAUCCUGGUGAAAUGCUACAAUGAGGUGUUUUAUCUGUGCGCUUGCGGAUAGAAUAGAUUAUUUUCUAAAGAGCCUUUACAUUUAUAAAUACCUUUGUACACUCUGGCGCCAUGCUAGGGAUGACAACCUAGUAUCUAAGUGGUGUUAGCUAGUGUCAACAAUGGCUAUAACAGGGAGACUGCCGAUGACUCUGAAAGGAAGCGUGGAGGUUGCCGAUUGAUCUGUGACGGUGUCCCGAUCGGUUACGAGGGGCUGGUUCUAUGUUUUCCUUAGUUAUUUAAAAUCGUUUUGUAUAUGGAUUCUGUUUAAUUUGGAAUUCGAGUCCUAGUCGUGUCUGAUUGUAGCUCUUUAAGCAGGGUAUAAAUAUAGACCCUAGGGCCUUGUAAUGAGAUAUCUAUCAAUCAAUCGAAUACAAGUUUGUACUCAUAUUCCAGCAUCUACUUUUUCGACGACUUCGUCAUAUUUUCCUUUUUAUUACGAGUUCUUAGGAGUUCGUCGACUUAAGCUCGGCGUAUUCUCGAGUUCCGCGUGAAUACCUCUUGGCCGUGACAUCCGGGCGCAUCGCUGUUGUCGGGACCAAAGUAUUCGAGUUAUCACCUUUGCCGAUAGCAAGGUCAAAUCGGCUGGCACGCCUUAACGUUUAAAUCGGGUAUUAGCCCUUUGUGUUUGCAGAUCAGCUUUUGCAUCAACAUGGUGUUUGUCUAUUUCUGCAGGGGGUUAUCAGGAAUUAUGGAAGAAAGGCCCACAUGUCGGGUUUACAUAGAGAUAUUAAUGUGCCGCGCAAUUAUCUAACAUCUAGAAGAGUCCAGAAGCCACAGGAACGAACGGGAGGCCGAUCGGGCCCGGGGGCAGGGCGCCGGCCCUAGUCUGUGGGCCAAUCAGCUUCAACCUCGUGGAUCAUGCUCCACCGACCUAAAGGAUCAUGGAAAACUUUGCGAUUAAUGUCAGUUUGAUCUGACGGCCCACAUUCAUUUGGAAGGACUAUAUAAGCAGACCCGCUGGCCCCUAGAGGAGAUGACCUCUGAACCCUAAUUCAUUAUCCAUCUUGGGAGAAGAAGCCUCUGAUCAAGCCCUAGAGCCACCACAUCAAUAGAUCUCUAGUUUAGCAUAGGUACAUAGGAUUAGAACUAGAAGGAGUCAAUCUUCGAUUGGUUUCCGGAUCUGUCAAGAGGAUUCUUGGUAAUUCCUCUAUUGUUCUUCAAUUGUUCAUCAUUGUUCUUCAAUAUUAUGGAUAUGACUUUGUUCUACUUCAAUAUAUUGAUUAUGACUUUGCUCUUCUUGUUUAUAUUUGCAACUAUAUUGUUCUUAGUUUAUCAUAGUUAUAUGCUUGGCUUAGUUAGAUUGGAAUUAUAUACGUGUUUAGGAUCGUAUAGCGUUUAUCUAUGUGUACAGUGGGUAAAUGAUAAGUAUUGUGUAGGCGUGGUGCCUAUACCGUAUUUAUCUACGAUUGUACCCUAUAUGCCUGAUCGCGGGGUAGUUCGUGGUAGUGACAGCUCCAUCGAUUCUUAUAUUGUCCCCCUCUCGUGUAUAGGGGUGGCAGAGCAACAUUAUUAUAGUGGAGUGAUUGCUAUGUUUCUCAUCUUCCUUGAUAAUAUCACUAUGCAUGGGCGUAGUCCUGUCUUGCAAUGACUGCUAAGUAUAAUUGCACUAACUAUGAUAUGCUAGACUUUAUAGUUAAGAAUAACUUAGGAAAUAUUCUUGUAGUUCGUCCUAAUUCCAUGCUAAUGACUUGCUAGAAUAUCUAUUGAGGUGCUUAUCAUAUUUAUAUGUAGCUAAGUUAUGCUGAUCAGAUUAAUUAUCUUUGUCACCAUUCAUACUUUAACUAUCUUUUAUGUGACAUUUAUCCCUGUAUGAAAGAGAUAGAUAAAUGCUCUCAAUUAUACAUGCAAUGAUAGAUACUCAAUUCUAUAUUCCAUUCCAUAAUCAAUAGUGAUGUUUAGCAAUCCCUUCCCAAUGGUAAAAAUAUAAAUAACGAUACCUAGAAUACUUCCGGGUUAAAAUGCUACAUCGGUAUUAAUCUGUGCGCUUGCACAUCUCAUUUAUUAUUUAUUUAGAAGAGCAAUUGCAUAUUUCAAUACCGCGUCUCUCAUGUCAUGCUGGGGAUGACAACUUGGCUUAAGUGGCAUGAGGGAUAGGUUUGGCGUUUUUGGCUCCGUUAUCAGAAUUAGAAAACUAAGUUUACUUUUGGUAGUGAAGUUAAGAAUGCCCAACAAGCAUUUUUGGCGCCGUUGCCGGGGAAGGUUGAUUACUAAUCAGGAAUGAAUAUGGAAUUUCGAGUCAUCAUUCGCAUCACUAAUAUGAUUGAGAUUAUCAAUUCUCUCACACAGUUUUACCCUGAUAUUUUUCUAUUUUAUUUUAUGCAGGGUAAUGUAUGAAUAGAAGACAUCUUCCAGGAAAUUUUAUUGACAAUCCCGAAGCAUUAUUUAGAAAAACAAGAGCCAAGCUCAAGAAGGGAUCGUCAACACUUCAGCACGAAGCUUCAUCCAAUCAAGAAAAUCAUCGACGUUACACCCGGAACUUGUCUUCAGAGUUUGAAGCCAUGGCGAACAAAUCGAUCCGUGAGUUCUCAGCUCCCGCUUCGGACAACAUCCGUACUGGACCUGCUACAGAGAUCGAUGGCAACUUUGAGCUCAAGCCUAGACUUAUCAACAUGGUGCAAUCCAACCAGUUCUAUGGGAAGGCACACGAAGAUGCUAGUGCUCAUCUCCAACACUUCCUAUAGAUUUGCAGCACAUUCACCAUAUCAGGAAUCCCCAAAGAUGCUAUACUACUUCGCCUCUUCCCAUUCUCACUAUUGGGGAGAGCGAAGCAGUGGUUCUACGCUACAAAAGAGAAGAAUACUACGUGGACACUCUGCUCCAUGAACUUUCUAGCUAAGUUCUUUCCCAUGGGCAAGACCAAUGCUCUCCGUGGGAAAAUUACAAGUUUUCAGCAACAACAUGAUGAAUCCGUUCCAGAAGCAUGAGAGCGCUUUCAAGACUACAUCCUAGAAUGUCCCCAUCAUGGAAUGGAGAGCUGGCUACUGAUGCAGACGUUUUAUCAUGGGCUCGGCAAUAGUGCCCGUGAGACCAUGGAUGCUGCAGCUGGAGGAGCAUUCCUAUCACUCACCAUAUCACAAGCCACAGCUCUUGUGGAGAAGAUGGCGUCCAACCAAGGCUGGAAUGAAGAAAGGACCCAGACACGCAAGAGAGGUGGAGGUAUGCACCAGCUCAAGGAGGUAGACAUGCUGUCUGCUAAGCUAGACCUGCUCAUGAAGAAGCUCGAUGAUAGAGCUGGAGAUAAGAAGGAAGUCAUGCACGUCUACGACUCUCACAUGACUUGUGAGAAAUGUGGAGAUACUGGACACUCAGGCAAUCACUGCCCUGAGAUGCUUGAGGAUAUGAACUACAUCAACAAUAACAACUACUACUACUACAACCAUCCUCAACAAAAUCAAGGUUGGAAUCAACAGAGGCCUAACUACUCAGGUAAUUAUCAAGGUAACAAUUCUUACAAUAAUAAUAAUAAUUUUCCACCUCUGAGUGAGUUAGUGUCUAAUCAAGGAAAACUAAUGGAUAACCUAUCUAAGAAAUUGGCAUCUAAUGAUAAAAUGUUAGAAAAUAUAAAUACUAGAAUGGAUAAUUUCUCUACUACCAUCAAGAAUCAAAUUAGCUUUAAUAAAAUGAUUGAAUCUCAGUUAAAUCAAAUAGCUGCUGCUGUUCCUGCUAAUAACCCCGGUAUACCAUCACAACCGGAAGGAUUAGAAUCUGCAAGUCUUGUAGACAUGUUUGAUACAGGUAACUACUGGAGUAACCCCAUCGCGGAAGUUACUACUCACCUUCUGCCGGUCAAGAGAGGCGAUCCAGGACGCCCCGUCAUCCCGAUCUCCAUCGGCAUGGUGGACUUCCCAGAAGCACUCUGCGACUUUGGCUCCAGCAUCAACAUUAUGCCCAGGGUACUCUAUGAAAAAUUCUUUACAUAUCCUUUAUUAGAAACAACCAUGUGUUUGCAGCUUACAGAUCGGACACUAAGUUUCCCCAAGGGAAUAUUGAAGAACCUCUGCGUCCGAGUUGGUACCUUGUAUGCCCCAGCAGACUUCGUGGUGAUAGAGACCGGUAAUGAUGAGAGGGCACCUGUCAUCUUAGGGAGGCCAUUCCUAAAUACCUCGGGAGCUGUCAUCUACGCUAGUGCUGCCAAGAUCAGUUUCUACAUCAAAGGGAGGAAGGAGACGUUUUCCUUCAAGAACAAGACUACACAAAUCCUAGAGCAAUCCCGACAUAAACCAAGGAAGAGGACCAACAGGAGGAAUAGGAACAAGCAAGUGUGGACCGAGUCAGCUAAGAUGGUCACUGCAGUUCAUGGAAGUCAAGAUCAUCGACUUAAGUCACCGUUGCUAACCAAGAAAGACGACCCAGGUAUGCUAAGCAUCCAUUGCUCCAUUACUGGAUACUACUUCUAUAAGACACUUUGCGACACCGGAUCGGGCAUCAACAUAAUGGCCGCAGUCACCUAUCGGCUCUUGUUCGGAACCAUGCCCCUAAAACCGACAUACAUUCAGCUCCAAAUGGCAGAUCAGACAUUCCGAAAGGUUGAAGGUAUAGUAACUGACGUCCCUGUCAAAAUAGACAAUCAUUUUGUCCAUAUAGACUUUCAGGUUGUUGACAUAGGAGAAGACGAGUACGAUCCACCCAUCAUCCUUAGGAGACCGUUCCUCAGUACCGUUAAAGCAAUCAUCUACAUUAGAACCGGAGAAGUCCACAUGCACUUCCCCUUAGAGAAGGUACGCCGCUAUUUUACUGACCCUAACUAUAUAGUUGAAGACUCUAAGCAAGUCACGACAAGAAGAAGACGACGCAACCGCAACCAGAGUAGGCAAAUCAUCAAGGACGGAUGGGCAGACUACGAAAGAGAAGUAGUAAGGUCUGAAGACAUACAGCUUGAACAGAACUAUCCAGUGGAGACCGUAGCACAGAGUCAGGUGUGGAGAGAGAAGAUAGUUAUACACGAAGAAGAGGCGCCGCCAGAACCACCGACUACGCCAUCUUACGAAUCCCAGGACAACUGAGAAAACAGAGAGUCCCGUUCGGAGGACUUAAAACACCGAACGCCUUGCCAAGAGGUAAACUUGGUAGUUACCCUUUUCCUUUUAAUUAUUUCAAAUAGUUUGCUUAGUUAAUCAUGUUCAUACUAUCUUAAAAAGAAAAUAAAAAUGUUAAAAACAGUAAGCCCCAUGUGAGUAUACGAGUGGCAUAAAACCCAUAAGUACAUUCACUGUAGUGGCAUAAAAAUAAAAUAAAUAUUUUUCUGCUCUACAAAAAUGAAAAUAUAAAAAAUAGAGAGUAACAUUUAUUAAGGAGGCUCAACAUGAUAAAGUCUAGAUGUUUAUGGUAACACCUAAUCAGUUCCACAAAGCUUUGUUGUCUAUUUGAGUUCCAUAGAAUUUAAGGAUCAAGAAGACAAGGAGACGGAGGACAUUCUAAUCGCUGUCAGGGUGCUGCCGACUUUCAAAUACACAUUUGCCACCUGCUAGCUACAUCAGAAGAAAUUACGUCAAAAUUCAGCUUGGGGGAGAGCACCCCCAUUUAUCCAGCUAAGUAUUCUACUCACGUUUAUACUUUACUCUAAUAAUAAAAAUAUACAUAAUCAUGAAAAACCAAAUAAAGAUUUUGUGCUUAUAUAUAUAUCUCUUUUGCUUAAUAUGCUUAAUAAAUAAAUAAAAUGGCUAUGCUAAACUGAAUCUUAAUAAAACUCUAGCAUGGAUAUGAUGAAUAGUUGCUCUGCCUAAUUUUCAAAUUUAAAGUUCUCUCUCAAGUUUAGACAUAACUGUUAUAAUUUAAAGCUUGCUCUAAACCUGAACUUGUGGGAAGAGAACUUGAUCUGAAGUCUAAGUUGUUAACGGAUAUGAUAUGGGAAGGUUGAGCUGCUGUUUAUCUGUUCCUAGAGAUGCUAGAAAUUUGGAGAAUUUUAUCUUUGAAAGUCUUUAAGAUAACACAUGAUGAGUUCCUGUAUGAUGAGAGUUUAAAUUCCUACCACAACCAUAUAUACAUGCUUGCUAGACUUUGAGCCACACAUUUACUUUUUACUGCUUAUGAGCAUUGAGUGUGGUCAAGCUGUGUAGACCCAUAGAAGCUUGUCAUAUGGUUAAAUCAAGAUUCACUUGCACGUUCACUCACACAUACUGCUUCUACUCCGGAAGUACGCAUCCACAUAUAUCCACUCAUUUCUAUCUCCAAAGCCACCCAAAAAUAUUCUACUCCUAAUCCGGGGAGAAUAGCCAAAAAAACAUUAUCCCAUUCUUGUUUUUCCCUAUGAAAUAAAUGUUCAAGUUAUCUUGGUUACUACCACUUGCUAUAUUAUUUCAGGAGAUGAGUGCUCUAAAAAAGAAGAAAAAAAGGGAUACGAGGAAAUAAAAAGCACUACUAAAUUUUACCCAUUUUGCCACGCUUUUAUGGUGCAACGACACUGAUUUGGUUGCAACAAGGGGUCCUCUCGCAAUGAUUUGAACUUUUGGUUGCGAUAGAUGGUAUUCCUCCACGCAAAUUAUAUCGUGGCCAUAAGUGUGGAGAUCGUUGCCAAAACUAGGAGUUGUUGCCACGCAAUUCAGAUCGGUGGCAAUAGUUGUUCACUGUUGCCACGAAUAUAGUUUCGUUGCUGCGAGUUUAUUUUCGUUGCGAUACUCAAAUGAUUUCGCAAAGCUUUAAUUUGUUGGUUGCAAUAAAAAGUCACUCUUGCCACGAUUGGUUAUUCGUUGCUGAGAAUUUUGUUUUCGUUGCAAUAUUAAGAUGAUUUUACAACGUUUUUAUUUGUUGGUUGCAACAAAAAGUGACUCUUGCCACGAUUGAUUUUCCGUUGCUAAGAGCUUUGUUAUCGUUGCAAUACUAAGAUGCUUUCGCAACGCUUUUAUUUCUUGGUUGUAAUAAAAAGUCACUCUUGCCACGAUCGAUUUUCCAUUGCUAAUAGUUUUGUUACUGUUGCAAUACUAUACAGUUAAAAUGUUUAAUGUAAUAUUAAAAAAAUUAAAAAACUCUUCAACUGAGAUUUGAGCCUUGAACCUCUGAGUUUUAGAAGCCACACACUAACCAUCCGAACCUUUUGAUGUUUGUGUCUUCUCUAGCCACAGCACUAUAUAUAUAAUAACGUAAACGUGUUUAAUUACAUAAUGGAAGCUAGAUUAAUCUACUCGAUGCAACCGAUCGGUCUUCUCUGCUCUGUAUCGUGCUCGUCCUACUCAUUGCCAGCCCUAAUUCUUCCUCGCACUCGGCCGGCGAUCUCCUCGCUGCCCUCGCUGGUGGCCGCCGUCGCUGCCCUCGCUGCCCUCGCUGGUGGCCGCCGGCGAUCUCCUCGCUGCCCUCGCUGGUGGCCGCCGGUGAUCUCCUCACUGCCCUUUCUAGUGGCCAGCGUUCCCCUCGCUGCUGAUCGACGACGUCCCCUCCAUCACCGGCCGGCCAGAGAUACGACACAAUUGGCCGUCACUCUGCCCUCACGCGCUGCUGAUCGACGUACGUGUUGUGCGUGUGCAUGCAUGCAUAAUGUUAUUUUUUGCUAAUCAGCACAUGCAGUACGUAGCUCUUCUUGUAAAAAAAAUCAAAUGCUGUAGCUCUUCUUGUAAAAAAAUAGUUUGUGCACCUUAAUUAUGAUGCUUAUUUAGUUAAUCCAAUUUUACAAUAAUUCGUGACCCCACUCUUUGAAUUAUGUCAUGUCACAGGAAAGUUGAGCUCGUGAUAUUAUUAUGGCAGCACAUGACGAUUGUGAUUGGAGUUGGAUGUCGUUGUCUCGGUUAUCAGCUGAGUGGCAAGCUGGACUUGACAAAUAUAUUAAUUCAAUUUUUGAAGGUACAUAUGCAGCAGAAACAGCAGCUUGUCCAUGUUCAAGGUGUCGUGGAGUGGUGUUCAAAACAAAAUCCAAGGUUCAAAUGGACUUGCUAAAUAAAGGGUUUGAUGAGAACUUCGUGAAAGAAAAAAUUAAUGCUCAAUCUAGUAGGAAUAAUGAUGAUAGGGUUCUGAAUGAUGAAGGUCUAAAUGAUGCAUCAGCUGCCACUAAUCUGGUUUCUUCUAUAAUUCGAGGUGCAUGCAGCGGUAAUGACAAGGAAGAGCCAAAUGAGAGUGCGAAGAAAUUUUUUGAUUUAUUGAAAGAAGCGCAGCAAGAGUUGGCGCCAGGGUCCUCGCUUACGAAGUUAUCUUUCAUGGUCAGGCUCUUUCAGCUUAAGUGCAUGAGUGGAUGGAGUAACCCGUCCACAGGAAAAGCACUUGAACUAUUCUCAGAUGGGUUCCCCCAGGACAUUGUAUCCCAGACACUUAUGAGAAAGCACGAAAGGUUAUCCGCGAUCUUGGCCUCACAUAUAUUAAGAUCCAUGCUUGUGUGAAUGAUUGUGUGUUAUUCCGUGGGAAAUUUGCUGAUCUGGAUGAGUGUCCAAUAUGUGGAGAGAGUAGGUGGAAAAAUGUUAUCGGAAAUUCUGAUGAGAUUGAUGAGCAUAGUGAAAGUGGUGGAACAAAGAAGAAGAAGCGCACUCCUUGCAAAAUUCUAAGGUAUUUUCCACUUAUUCCUCGACUACAAAGAAUUUAUAUGUCAGAGAAAACAUCAUCAUUGAUGCGGUGGCAUAAGGAACACUUGAUUCGUGAUGGGAAAAUGCGUCACCCAGCAGACUCAAAGGCAUGGCAUCAUGUGAAUGCAAAGUAUAAGAAAUUUGAUGAAGAUGCACGUAAUGUUAGGCUAGGACUUGCAUCAGAUGGAUUUAAUCCGUUUGGGAUGUUGAAUGUUAAUUACUCAUGUUGGCCUGUGAUAUUGAUUCCUUAUAAUUUGCCUCCUUGGUUGUGUUUGAAACAACCUUACUGGAUGAUGUCGAUGUUGAUACCUGGUCCUAAAUCUCCUGGAAUGAACAUUGAUGUAUAUUUGCAACCACUGAUCGAUGAGCUGCUUGAGUUAUGGAAUGAAGGGGUUCUAACAUGGGAUGAGAAGAAGAAGAAGAAUUUUACUCUACGUGCAAUUCUAUUAUGGACAAUUAAUGAUUUUCCUGCAUAUGCUAUGUUAUCUGGUUGGAGCACAAAAGGCAAGUUUGCUUGUCCUUACUGUCAUAGGCAUACUGAUUACUUGUGGUUAAAAUAUGGUUCAAAGCAUUGCUACAUGGGACAUCGCCGAUUUUUGCCCACGAAGCACAAGUGGCGAAGGAACAAGGUGAGCUUCGAUAACAAGGUUGAAAUCAGGGAAGCUCCAGUGCCGCUUAGUGGUGAGCAGGUGAAACAAGAUUAUGAGAGUUUUCAGCAAGUGACUUUUGGAAAAGAUACUAGGAGAAGAAAGCAACGUGAUGAAGAAAAUAGAUGGCACAACUGGAGGAAGAAGAGUAUUUUUUUGAGCUUCCGUACUGGGAAUCUUUGCUUGUUCGACAUAAUUUAGAUGUCAUGCAUAUUGAGAAGAAUAUAUGUGAGAGCUUACUAGGGACUUUGCUUGAGUUAGAAGGCAAAUGCAAGGACAGUGAAAAGGCUCAUCUUGAUAUGCAACAUUUGGGUAUCAGGAAAGAUCAGCAUCCAGUGCUCGAAAAGGGUAAGUAUACCUUGCCACCAGCAUUAUACAGUCUUGGUAAGGAUGACAAGCAAAUUCUAUGCAAAUUUUUACAUGGCGUAAAGUUUCCUGAUGGUUAUGCCACAAAUAUUAAGAGAUGUGUGGACAUCAAUGGUUGCAAGAUUUCUGGUCUAAAAACACAUGAUCUCCAUGCAAUUCUGCAAAAACUUUUGCCCUUAGUAGUGCGCAACAUAUUGCCUGAAGAAGUGGUGAUUGCAGUAGUCGAGCUAAGUAGAUUCUUUAACUCACUAUGUUCAAAGGAAUUGGAGAUUUCAGAACUUCAAAAACUGAGCACUUCGAUUAAGGAGACACUUUGUCGAUUGGAGAUGAUUUUUACUCCUGCUUUUUUGAUAUUAUGAUGCACUUACCAGUUCACCUUGCUGAAGGCCCAGUGUGCUAUAGAUGGAUGUAUCAGGUUGAGAGGUACCUUCGUACUCUUAAAGGGAAUGUGAAGAAUAAAGCCCAACCUGAAGGUUCAAUUGCAGAGGGGUAUAUAUCUGAGGAGUGCCUCACAUUUUGCUCUAACUUCUUUGAUAAUAUUAGUACUAAGCUUAAUCGUUCAGAGCGUCAUGAAAGCGCAGCUGGUAGUGAACCGCCAUGUGGCCUAAGUAUAUUCGGGAGGCUUGACUACAGUAGGAAAGGAAGUAUUAUCGAGAUCAUUUCUGAUAUAGACCUCCAGAGGAUGAGGCAUUACAUAUUAUUCAACUGUGAAGAGGUGUUGUCAUGGAUAACGUAAGCUAUAUUUUAAUUAUGAUUUUGAUAUGGCGCUCAUUAACAUGUUUCAAAUUUAUAUGUAACUAAUGCUAGCAUUUUCUAUUAUUGUGGGAAGUGUGCAUAUGAAUGAGCUGAAGAAAAUCAACCAUAGGAAUGUUGAAAAAAGAGACAAGGACACGUUUGUCUCUUGGUUUGAGCGUGAAGUGAGUCCUGUCCCCCUAAUAUGUUUAACCAUACUUCUUUUUACUUGUUAGUUUAUUAGUCAUUAAUAUAUUUUAAAAAUGUUAUGGUUAUUGCAGAUUAGGUCACUGCAUGCAAGAGGGGCCGUAGAUGACAUGAUUUAUUUUCUAUCUCGCGGUCCAGACCGUCAGGCUCGUGUGUUCAACAGGUGUUUCAUAAAUGGAUUCCUUUUUCGAGUCUCUUCUGUAGAGAACUUCUUAACUACACAAAACAGUGGUGUAUAUGUGAAGGGAGAUUCAAGUACAGGAAACAUGGACUGGUAUGGCGUGCUUAGGAAAAUCAUCUGCCUCGAUUUUCCUGGCGAGAAGGAAAUAAUGUUGUUCCAAUGUGCAUGGUUUGAUGUCCCUGCAGCCAGUACGAGCAAAUCUAGAGGGUACAAAAAGGAUAAAUUUGGUGUCAUCGAUAUUGAUAUGACUCGGUUUAGGUAUUCAGAUGAACCUUACAUCCUGAGCACACAAGCGGAGCAAGUGUGUCGGUGUUUUUCCCCCGGGGGGUCACACCAACGAGUAAAUUUGUAUGCGUGCUCCCUUUCCCGGAUGGUGAUGCAAGAAGACACAGAGAUUUAUCCUAGUUCGGGCAAGAGAAGGCCCUACGUCCAGCGGGGGGAGAGAGUUUGUAUUAUCUUGCACCUAAGUGCUUGUACAGGGGCGAAUACAAGCGUGGUAUGAAGUGUGGAGCUCUACUACAUAUGAGCGUGGUCUUGUGUCGUGAUCUCCCUGUUCUAUUCCUGAGUCCCUCCUUUUAUAGUUCCAAGGAAGGGCCUAGGGUACAUGUAUAGGUGUAGGAAUUGGAGUCGAUAGCAGCAUGGAGCGCUGACCUACUCGAGGUUUCCGUACCGGCAUGCCCUCGAGCCGUCCCGUCUUAAUAGCCUGGUGAUGAUCACGCGUGCCCCUGCAUUCUGCUCUGCGCGCCGUCUUGAAUUGGUUCGGCGGAUGCACGCUUAUAUGGCUCGGCGGCAAAUCCGGCGGAGCGGUUACGGCAUGGUCAGUCGACGCCCGACUCGUCUCCAGGAAGGAGCCUGGUGAAGUCGAGGGUCGAACGCCGUACGAGGUGUCGAUAUCUGGAGCGCUGACCUUGGGUGUCUCGAGGGGGUCCCGAUUAGACGUUCCAUCCUUGUUUCCCGCGUCCUGACACGCCCUGGGUCGUUCGGUGGGAAGGCUGCAAAAAGAACGAUGGGACAGAAGCCUGUUCCCUAUCACGCCUCCCGUGACCCGUGUGUUAUGUGGGGAAGCGUCAUGUGCAUUAAAUGCCCUGGCUCUCGCGCGCGCGUUAGGCGGCGGACAGUGUCCUUGCACUCGACGCCUCUCGGUUUGCUCGAGCCCGCUUCCGUAUUCGACGGCAGUUGUCGCUCGAGCCCUGACCGAUUCGCUUGACGCUAUUUCCGUCUUCGAGGCUGCGGCCGUCGAUGGCCGCGCGUGUGUACGGAUGGUCUCGUUAUACGCAUUGGUGAGGGUACCCCUUGUUGAUACCCUCGACAGUAGCCCCCGAGUCUUCAUUUGAGCGCUGGCGCUCGAGUGGAGACUUUCGUUUUUACGGUCGAGCUUCCACGGGGGCGCGCGAGCGACCCCGCGGGGGUAGCCCCCGAGCCCUCGAGGGAGUAUUUAACUCCUUCGAGGGUUAUUUUGCCAAAUUUGCAGAAACGCUGUCAACACCCGUGGUGGAAGGUUCUGUUCGGCUUUGCCUUGCGUGGAGGUUUCGACGUACUCUCGAUAGAGCGAGCGUCUUCCACCCCAGAUUGAGUUCCUAGCGGGUAGUCCAAGUGAGAACCUGUGCCCCUUUCGAGGGGGUCAGCUGUAGCCCGGAGGCGUCCUCAUAAAGCAGGGUCGACGUGGUCGGGGAUACCGGUCUCAUUCGAUAGAGUCCAGCGGCUCGAUGCCUCCCUUCAGGGGGAUUCCUCUCGACUGUCUCGACCCUACCUUGGACAUCGCCAGCGAGUCCUCGAGGCGGGCCUCGAUUUUCGACCACUCGCUGGGGAUCCCUGACUCUUGGUGCUCGAGAUCGGCUGUCGAACCCUUUCGACGGGCCAGCCAUCGACCUCUCGAGACUAUCGUGGGCGCAUACCUUGGCUUACGAAGUAAGGAAGCUGCCGUGCCGGUUCGUCUUUCUGCCCGUUGGGCGCACCUUUUGAGGUAAGUGACGUUGCGACACUGUAUCGGCGGGGAAUUCGGAGCGUCCGGCCUGUGAGGAGAGAAAGGACCGUUAGACGGCGCAUUUAUGGGGGGAGUUACCUCAUUUAUCGGAUCUAUCCGUUGUGGGGGUAUAAACCCCUAUACCCUUACGACUGGACUUGGGCCAGGAGGCUUAGCCCAUUACGAGACGAGUUCAAAGCUUGAUCCGACAACCUGGAGUUCCGCGCAAGGAAACAAGAUGUGGAGAUCAAGCAGGAUUUCUGGUCGGUUAGAAUAGGAAUUGAUAUCGAAUUAUCCAUGGCAAUUGUAACCGACUAGGAUUAGUUUCUAGAUCUGUAACCCUGCCCUCCAGACUAUAUAAGGAGGGGCAAGGGACCCCCUAGGACAGAUUAUCUCUCAACACAAUCCAAUACAACCAGACGCAGGACGUAGGUAUUACGCCAACUCGGCGGCCGAACCUGGAUAAAAAGCUUGUCCGUGUCUUGCGUCACCAUCGAGUUCGUAGUUUGCGCACCGUCUACCGAUAAACUACUACCGUGGGUAUACCCCAAGGUAGACUGCUGACUAGCUUUCGUCGACAGUGGCGCGCCAGGUAGGGGGUGUGCGUGCAACUUUUUCGGCGAACAAGAUGGUCACGAUCCCAGCUUCCGCGACCGUGCCCGAAGGCCUCACGUUCACCGUCGGCCAGAUCACGUGGACGACGUGCAGCGGCGGCUUCGCGACCACGGUUCCGAAAGAGAUCCAGAUCCGAUCUGAGAUCACGCCGUCUCCGACCACACGCAUGACGGCACCAAGCGCCCGACCACCGUUCCCACUCUACAAGGGAAAGGAGAUCGACUGCUCGGACCUCCUCCAAGCGCUCGAUCGCGCUGACUCCAAGCUACUCGAAGUCUCCCAACUAAUAGAUGGAGUUCUGCGCCGGCCCGACCAAGCUGCUCGAGCGGAUUUUUCGAAAUCCCGCCGGCCAACUCGUGUCGCCACACACGAAUGGCUGGGAACGUCCCUGACGAUAACCUCAACCCCCUCAGGACGGUCCGUCGAGCUCAAGAAGGAAGACUAUCCUUGCGGCCUGAACAACUCGGCCUCUGUUUACUCACAGCAUGUCCAAUCCGUUUUCAGCAAGGCGGGUUGGUCGCCGACAAGGAACAAUCGUCACCAUGUCAACAUGGUGACAAUCCGAGAGCUACGGGACGGCCAGGUUUCCAGCACCAACUCAAGCACCGGCUCCGUCCCCACCGAGGUUAUAAACACCGAAGACGAGGGCUACGACCUGGAUUUUCCUUCACACCCUCUGGGUUUCGACCGGUUCCCGAUAUUCCCCCCCCCCCGGCGAGGGGAUAUUGUGUUCAAUGUCAGCGCCGACGAACCGGCCGUUGACGGAGAAACAGAUGACCAGAGGCAACUCCGCGAACAGCGUAACGCCGAUCGCGCCCGACGACGUGCGGACGAGCAACAACAGAUGCCACCAAAUAACCUCAACGAUGCCUUUGACAUGGUCGGGGACCAGCCAGUCUACAAAACGCCAAGCGCCAACGUGGCUGUCGCCAUGGCUAACCUGGAUCGGCUUCCUGACACCCCCGAAUGCCAGGGAGUCCGGACCAGCAUCCGAGCACACCUGAUCGCCGCAAUGGGACAGACAGCCACUCUGCUCAAGAGAGUCCAGGACGUCUCUUAUACGGAAGCCGCCUCCGACCAGAUCAGUCGUAGCCAGGUCUCACCCAGCAGGCGUCACCGCAGCCGCUCCCCCGAUAACCGUCGAGGGGACUCGCGGCGCGACGAUGGUGGUCGGGACGCCGAUGGCCGCCGCAAGCAGAACCGCGUACGCGGCCAAGAAGAAGAUCAACACAGGGAUCUCCGCCACAACAUCCCUUCCAAAGAUACCCGGGACCGCAUCAACAGGCGCGCCGCAGAGAGAGCAGUCCACGAAAACCUGCGCCGCAUCGAGUACGAUGCAACCCACGGUCCUCCGGGCCUAAGACAGUUCUCCUCACACCUCCGCCAGGUCGUGUGGCCCCGCAAUUUCAAGCUCGAAAAACUUAAAAAAUACGACGGCAAGGAAAAUCCAGAGAACUGGAUCACCCUCUAUGAAAUCACCGUCCGAUCAGCGGCAGGAGAUGAGCACGUCAUGGCUAACUACUUCCCCGUAGUCCUCGACCAGGCUGGUCAUCAGUGGCUUCUCGGCUUGCCCGAGGACUCCUUCGACUCUUGGGAAGAGCUACGCCAGGCUUUCAUCGACAACUUCAUCGCCACAUGCGAGCAGCCCGGAAACAAGUAUGACCUUGAAAGGAUAAGGGACAGGAAGAAUGAACCUCUGCGCGAUUACAUCCGACGAUUCUCGGAUAUGCGCCUCAAAAUCCCGAAGAUUUCUCAUGACGAGGCCAUCUCAGCCUUCAUCAAGGGCUUGCGUUUCCACGAAGCGCUGAGGAACAAGCUGUUGCGUAAGCGCCCAUCAACGGUAGCAGAGCUCCUCGCCACGGCCAAAAAUUACGCCGAUGCCGAUGACGCAGAAAAACUAAUCCGAGACGAUGCGAGAGGCCCCGACCAGCCUCCCCGGCGAGAUGACGGUCGUGGUCGCUACGACAACAGAAAUCACCGCCGCUCCGACAACCGCGAUCACCGAGAGGGUUGGGAUCGGCGGCGCGACAGCCGCGACGACUUCAGAGGAAAGCGCCCUCGCGACUACGACCACGAAGUAAAUACGGUCAAACGUCCCAAUGGGCGACGGGACUACCAAGAAGACUACAACAAAACGUUGAAGGGACCAUGCCAGCUACACCCAAAGUCCAAUCAUACCAUGGAAGAGUGCCGCGUCCUCAAAAGUAUCUAUACACGGCGAGCCGCCCAAGAGGACUCCGCCAAGAAAAAUAACAAGCGCGACGGGCACGACCAUGAAGAUGAGGAUGAGGACCAAGAUAGGGACCCCCGACACCAAUACGUCAGCCCCACUGACGUGGUCCACUCCAUUUUCGGGGGCAAGGUCUCCACUGAGUCCAAGCGAGAAAGAAAGCUGUUAAAGAGAGCCUGCCUCAACAUAGACAGCAUGGACGGGCUGAUCGCAGAUCCGAAAUUUCCCACGUGGUCCCACAGGGAGAUCUCGUUCAGCAGGAAGGACCAGUGGGCCGCUAUCCCAGAGCCGGGUCGUUUCCCACUGAUUCUUGACCCCUGCAUCAACAGCAUCAGAUUCGAGCGCGUGCUCGUGGACGGGGGAAGCUCCAUCGACAUCCUCUUCCGCAACAGCCUGCCCGCCCUCAAGAUAUCACCGGCACAACUAAAACCUUACGACGCCCAAUUCUGGGGGGUUUUGCCAGGUCAAAGUUCAGUGCCCCUCGGACAGAUAACAUUGCCUGUCCAAUUCGGCACACCCGACCACUUCCGGACGGAGUUCAUCAACUUUGUAGUCGCGGAUUUCGACGGGACCUAUCACGCCAUACUGGGCCGCCCAUCGCUGACAAAGUUCAUGGCAGUCCCGCACUACUCAUACCUGGUCCUUAAGAUGCCCACGGAGAAGGGCGUCCUAACCGUCAGAGGCAACGUCUACACUGCGUACACCUGCGAAGAAGAAAGCUUCAAGAUCACCGAGGCAAUCGACCUCUCAAUCCGCAUGGCGGAAACAGCAAACCAAGCCGCACAGCUACCUCCCGACCAGCUCCGAUUACCCGAACAGGCGACAGCCAGGAAGAACUCAAAAUUCAAGGAGUACAAAGAAGUGCAGCUGGUCGAAGGCAACCCCGAGAAGACAGCCCUCAUCGGGGCCAACCUGGGUCCAAAAUAGGAAGACGCGCUCGUCAGGUUUCUAAGGGACAACGUGAGCGUUUUCGCAUGGAAACCCGCAGACAUGCCCGGUGUCCCACGAAGCCUGAUCGAGCACUCCUUAAAUGUCUCGAAGACUGCAAGACCAAUCUAGCAAAAACUGCGACGGUUCGCUCGUGACAAAAAGGAGGCUAUUAGGGCAGAAAUAACACGGCUUCUAGCAGCCGGAUUCAUAAAAGAAGUGUAUCACCCCGAUUGGCUCGCCAAUCCGGUUCUUGUACGCAAAAAGAAUAAUGAAUGGAGAAUGUGCAUUGAUUACACUGAUCUUAACAAACAUUGUCCUAAAGACCCUUUUGGUCUCCCUCGCAUCGACGAGGUGGUCGACUCAAUGGCCGGAUGCGAACUCCUCUCCUUUCUAGACUGCUACUCUGGUUAUCACCAGAUCUCGCUAAAGGAAGAAGAUCAGAUCAAAACAUCCUUCAUCACACCCUUCGGCGCAUACUGCUACACGACCAUGUCUUUCGGACUCAAAAACGCCGGGGCCACUUAUCAAAGGGCCAUCCAGCAAUGCCUCCACGACGAGAUUCGCGAUGACCUCGUCGAGGCCUAUGUGGACGACGUGGUCGUAAAAACAAGGGACGCGAGCACCCUAAUCGACAACUUAGACCGAACCUUCAAGGCACUCAAUAGGUACAAGUGGAAGCUCAACCCCAAGAAAUGCAUUUUCGGCGUUCCUUCCGGUCUACUGCUCGGCAACGUCGUCAGUCGCGACGGCAUACGACCAAACCCUUCAAAAGUCAAAGCCGUACUCGACAUGCGACCACCGAAGAACGUCAAGGACAUUCAGAAGCUAACCGGAUGCAUGGCCGCCCUCAGUCGUUUCAUCUCAAGGCUGGGAGAAAAAGGCCUCCCUUUCUUCAAACUAUUGAAAGCGUCAGAAAAAUUUUCUUGGACAGAGGAAGCCGACGCUGCGUUCACUCAGCUUAAGACCUUCCUCACUUCACCACCUGUCCUCACAGCGCCUCAACCCAAUGAAGAUCUACUUCUUUACAUUGCUGCAACCGACAGGGUUGUUUCCACGGCAAUAGUGGUCGAGCGAGAUGAACCAGGUCACGCCUACAAGGUCCAGAGACCCGUUUACUUCAUAAGUGAAGUCCUAAAUGAGUCCAAGGCCAGGUAUCCACAAAUACAGAAGCUCAUAUACGCCAUUCUGAUAACGUCAAGAAAGCUGAAGCACUACUUCGACGGCCAUCGAGUCCUGGUGACAACCAGUUUCCCUCUCGGAGACAUCCUGCGCAAUAAAGACGCCAAUGGCAGAAUCGUGAAAUGGGCGAUGGAAUUGUGCCCAUUUUCGCUGGAGUUCCAGAGCCGAACUACGGUCAAGUCUCAGGCCCUGGUCGAUUUCAUUGCUGAAUGGACGGAUCUCAAUGAGCCUCCCGUUCCUGAUGUCUCAGACCACUGGUCAAUGUUCUUUGAUGGGUCCUUGAACAUCAACGGUGUCGGCGCUGGGGUACUGUUCGUAUCACCCAACAAGGACAAACUGCGUUACGUCCUUCGGAUCCUUUUUCCGGCGUCAAACAACGUCGCCGAAUACGAAGCAUGCUUGCAUGGCAUAAGACUAGCCAUUGAACUGGGGGUCAAGCGCCUCUAUGUCUAUGGCGACUCCGCUUUGGUCAUCAACCAGCUCAACAAGGAGUGGGACGCAACCCACGAGAAGAUGGAUCUCUACUGCAAAGAAAUUUGCAAAUGGGAAACCAACUUCUAUGGCAUAGAAUACAUCCACGUGGUCCGGGAUAAGAACCAAGCAGCAGAUGCGUUGUCAAAGUUAGGCUCAUCUCGGGCCCAAAUCCCGCGGGGUAUUUUCGUCCAGGACAUCCAUGAGCCGAGCGUAGGCUCCUCCCUGGUCGACAGGCAACCCACCGAGGCAAUGCUCAUAGACGACGCCACUCCGACAACCGGUGGGCGUGACUGGCGUACCCCGUUCAUCAAAUACAUAUCAGACGGGACAGGUUUUCAGGACAAAACAGAGAACGAGCGCCUCAUCCGACGAUCAAAGAACUACAUCCUGGUCGACGGAAAACUCAUGCGGAAAAACGCAAGCUCCGAAGUACUGCUCAAGUGCAUACCCCAAGAUGAUGGUAUCAAGCUCUUAGAGGACAUACAUGCUGGAUCCUGCGGCAAUCACGCCGCAUCUAGAACGUUGGUCGAAAAGGCUUUCCGAGCAGGUUUUUAUUGGCCAACCGCGGUCGGCGACGCAGAAAAACUGGUUCGACAUUGCGAAGGAUGUCAGUUUUUCGCUAAGAGGACCCAUGUACCUGCCCAUGAAAUUCAAACCAUCCCGUCGUCUUGGCCCUUUGCUUGCUGGGGGCUUGACAUGAUAGGACCAUUUAAACCAGCCCCGGGCAAUUUCAAGUUUGUCUUCGUGUUAAUCGACAAGUUCUCCAAGUGGAUUGAAUACAUGCCCAUGGUCAAGGCAACCUCCGAGAAGGCUGUGGAGUUCCUCAAUCAAAUCAUACACAGAUUCGGCAUCCCGAACAGCAUAAUCACCGAUCUGGGCACUCAGUUUACUGGCACUACUUUUUGGGACUUCUGCGAUGACAGAGGCAUAGUAAUAAAAUACGUGUCAGUGGCACAUCCACAUGCCAACGGUCAAGUUGAACGUGCUAACGGAAUGAUCGUUGACGCCCUAAAGAAAAGGUUGUACACCGAAAACGACAGAGCACCCGGUCGAUGGAUGAAAGAAUUGCCGGCAGUGGUCUGGGGCCUCCGAACUCAGACCAGUCGAAACACAGGGGUGUCUCCCUACUUCAUGGUGUACGGUGCAGAGGCGGUCCUGCCGUCCGACAUACACUUCGGAUCUCCUAGAAUCGAACACUUCGACCAGGCGACCGCCGACAAUGCCAGAGAACUCGAAAUCAAUUGCAUGGAGGAAAAGCGUUUAGAUUCUUGCCUCCGAACAGCAAAAUAUCUCGCGGCAGUCAGGCGAUACUACAACAGGAAUGUCAAAGACCGUUCCUUUGUGGUCGGCGAUCUGGUACUUCGAUGGAAAACAAGCCAGGAGGGAAUGCACAAGCUAUCCACUCCCUGGGAAGGACCUUUCGUGGUGACCGAGGUCACACGACCCACGUCCUACAGAUUGGCAUACCCAGACGGAACACGAGUGCCUAACUCUUGGCACAUCGACAAACUGCGACGUUUCUAUCCAUAAAGUUUUGAUAACUUUCCUUUGUAAGUAUCUUAUAAUUUUUGAUAAUGAAAUUCUCUAUUUUUUGCCUAUACCUUGUCGCACACAGCACUCGGCAAAACUCCUGCAAUGGAUGCUCCUAGCGACUACCGAGACGAAUACGGUAACACGUCACUCAGAUAUUCUUACAGCGCUCAAAACAACAGUCAUGACAAAAAGCAAACUUUAUUACAAACUUUACACACAAAGUUUACAAUAAAUACCCUGACGGGCAGACACUAGUCUAUUCCUACAGACUACUUUAUUGGCCUAGCUGCUCGGGCUGAUCACCCGCCUGGCCCUGCUGCCUGGACGAAGGGGUCGGGGCCACCGGCGCCUGGCUGGUCGAGACCGCAGGCGUCGACCGCCCAUCUCCCGCAACGGAUGCGCCCGACAACUCCCUGGCCGACCUAUCUGAACUCGGCUGGUCUGGAGGAGUGGCCGUUCCGCACAGAUUGAUGUCGCCGAUCACCGUCGACGACAAGUCCAGCAGACUACCCCGAAGUUCGUCCGCUUCCUGAGGGCCGACUUCCUUCGGGUACCCCUUCUCCAGCCUGCUCAAGUCGACCAGGGGGUAGUGGGCGCGCACCAUGCUGAGGACGUGCGCGCCGGCAAACUCCCCAGCGUCCUUCACAAACUACUGGAGCCAGUCCCACGCCCGUUGCGCCUUCUCGACCGGGGUCAACUGCGGCGCGCGGGGCUGGCUCUCCGCGAGCUCGGGACUGAUCAGGUCUAGGACCGGGGACACUCCUUUCCAGAUCCUGCAACAGUUGACCUUCCAGGAGUCCCGGUCCUUGAUCAGAUCAUCCAGGUGCUUCUUGGCGUUCACCUUGAGCACUGCAAACGAAACAAGGCGUUAUUUUUGGCAUACUAAACAAACAAAGGGGCGACAAGCAGCAGCUAACAAGGCGGCACCCAUUACCAGAUAAUUCCCGGUCCUUUCGGCCCAAUUCCUCUCCUGCUCGCCGCCCGGACUCCAGCGCACCGGCGAGCUGUUGGCUGAGCUGCUCCUUCUCUUGUCGGAGGCGCGCCACCUCCUCCUCCAAGUCUGUGUGAACCAUAAACUGGUCAGUAAAGCAAACUACACAAGUACGCAAAGCUGCUCGGAGCGUGUGACUAACCUUCUCACUGCCGGUACUGGUCGGCCAAGCGACGAGUGAGGUCGAGACGACGCUCCUCCUGGACACUCAUCUCGGCCACCUUCUCCCCGACCUCCGAACGCAGCCGGUCUACCUCCGCGGCAAGGGCCUUGUUCUCGGCCAUGACGCCUUCUAUCUGGUCAAAGCACCGUUUCCGGUACUUUGCCGUUUUCAUUGCGCCCUACAAAGCGAGCAUAUAACGACCAUGCAAGACAAGGCAUAGAAUGUACAGCAGUACAAAAAGUCGCUUACCUUGACUUCGUCGACGAGGCGUUUGGCCGCGCGCUCCACCCUGGCGGCCUCUUCGGUCUCGGCGAGCUCCUCAUGCCCGAUAAAGUGAUCCCCGCGUUGGCGCCACACAUACACGUGUUGGCGGCCAUCACGGGGACGACCCUCAAUCUCUUCCACCUCAUCAUCGGAGGCCGCCCGGGUUUCCUCCUCCUGUGCUGCGUCACCCCCGGUGGUGGUCCCAGGUAUUACUGGUCCUCGGACCAGACCUGGGGAGCCCGCAGCCGAAGAGGCUCCUGCUCGGGGCGGCGUGGGGACUUCACUCCCCCCGGCAGGAGGAGCGGUCGGAGAUCUUCCCUCCUCUGAGGAGCCAGUUGGGGGAGCCUCUCCAGCCCUGGUCGGGCUGCCUGUCGUAGUCGGUGCCGCGGUCGGGAGCCCCUCGGUGCUCCCAGGCGCGACUGCAGCUGUUGGCUGCUCUGUGGUCUGGGGGGCCGUAUCCUCAGCAGCGUGGACUGGCUUGCCCGUCCCCUGGCUGGCAGCCUGGCCGGGGUCGACAUCCGACGCCGCACUACAGGAACAAAAGUGUAAUUUCAAAAAAAAAAAUCAAAGAGGAGUCCAAAAUACGUAAGUCGAACACUUACAGGUCUGAUCGACGGUGGGUGGCGGUGAACCUCCUCCUCGCCCGGCCGGUCGGCACCUGCGCCCCCAUCUCGACAACUUGCGGUGCAGGGGCAUCGCUGGCCACUCGAUCAGUAGCGGCCGGCGCAAUAUCUGGGCGGCCCCGGGGCCGUCGGACCAACGACGGCGCAGCCUCCUCGUCGUCGUCGUCGUCAACGAUCCGCACGAGCCGACGACGCUUCGGUGCUUGGCUGCUCUCCACCGGUAGACCUGCCGGCAGCUCCGGUGUCGGCAAAGGAUCUGCCGGCAAUGGCCUCUUCCCCGCUACCCUCUCCUCGGAGGUCGGGACGGGGCGGGCUUGGUCCUCUUCACUGCUGGUGUAAUGAGUACACCGAGCAGCGUCCUCCUCUGGCGGGUCUUCUCCCGCAGGAUUUUCCAUCCCCGGUGCCAGUGAUACAUACACUGUGCACCGGUCGACAUCGCCGAUCUGCAAAAGCAACAGAGAUGAGUCAGCUGCCGACGAUAUACGAAUGCUAAAACAAAAUAAUCUGCUACAUACCUUUGGUGCUGGUCGUCCUAACUUGAAGGCUUGCACCCGAUCACUGCCACGGAUGAAGCCUCCGUCCGCGAAGUUAAACAGCUCGUUCAACAGCUGUUGUACCUCCGCUUUCUCCAAGAUCUCUGGCCGCAUCCUGAUCGGGUCCACGCUUCCGGCAUACUCGUACGCCGAGUGCACCCUCUUCUGGCAGGGCAUCACCCGACGACAAAUGAAGUUGCCGACCACGCCAAGCCCGUCCAGGCGCGACCAGUCGAUCAGCUUCAUGAGAUCCGCCACUGGACCGUCGAACUCCGGGCGGUCGGUCCAGCUCAUCCUCUUCUCAAGAAUGUAUCCCACGUCGCAGAAUGUGGAGCUGCCCGGUUCCUCCCUGAUGUAGAACCACUUCCUGUACCAUUCGGUUAAGGAAGUGUUCCAUGGACAGUGCAGGUAGCGAUUCUUCAUUCCAUCACGAAGGUUGAGGUAUACUCCACCUGCAACCUUGGAGCCUCCAACUGCUCCCUUCUUCCUCAAGCAGAAAAGAUACCGAAAAAGAUCGAAGUGCGGCUCUAUGCCAACAUAGGCUUCGCACAGGUGGAUAAAAGUGGAAAUGAGGAGAAUUGAGUUCGGGUGCAGAUUGCAAAUCCCGAUCUCAUAGUAUAAAAGAAGACCUUGAAGAAAAGGAUGAACAGGAACACCAAAGCCCCUCUUAAUGAAAUCUUCAAAUACGACGAUCUCACCGGCGCGAGGGUCGGGGUAGCUCUCCCCCUCCGGUGCCCUCCAGCCGCCGAUCUCCUGGCCGUGCAGAAGCCCCAUAUCGACGAGGUCACCAAGAGAUUUCGUGGUGCUGCGAGACUUCUUCCACUCCUUGGCCAUCAGUUCGGCCCUCUUCCUGGAGUCGCUCUUCGCCAUUAGAGGUGCGAAUGUGGGCUUGAGUUAGGAAGAUGCAGGCGAUUGGGGGAGAUGAGAGCGGAAGGUUUGAAGGCAAUGGCAGGGUAAGCAGUACAGGUGGAACUAUCAGGCUCUUAUAGCCCGCAACUCCACCUCUCCCACUUCCCGUAUUCUCGGGAAGUGGGCGGGCCAUGCGGCGGAUGCGGCGUUUCGGUUUACAAUGAUUAUAGACAAUUAAUGCGGCGGAUUUUUCGUACCAAUUGAUGGUUUCCUUUUCUCAAACCAUGCAAAGGGCGGCUGCACAGUUGCCAGGCGCAACUUUUCAUGCAUCCGUCUGACACCCCGUCAGGAGGCCUCGUCACGUCAACUUUAACUGGAAAGAUCUUUUCAAAAAACAAGAAGACACAUACGCCAGAGAGUCAACAAUCCGGGGACUGCACCGACCACCGGGCAUUCGACGCUCGGGGACUGGUCGCCCAGUCUAUCAGCUCGGAACUUCAAGGACUGCGCCGACCACCGAGCAUUCGACGCUCGGGGACUGGUCGCCCAGUCUAUCAGCUCGGAACUUCAAGGACUGCGCCGACCACCGAGCAUUCGACGCUCGGGGACUGGUCGCCCAGUCUAUCAGCUCGGAACUUCAAGGACUGCACCGACCACCGAGCACUCGACGCUCGGGGACUGGUCGCCCAGUCUAUCAGCUAGAAGCUUUAAAGAACUGCACCGACCACCGAGCACUCGAUGCUCGGGGACUGGUCGUACAGUACAGCAACACAGAAUUCUAAAAAGCACUUGGUGCUUGGUGACUGGUCGAUUAAUCUAUUCAAUUGCAGUCAGACUGGUAAAUUCAACUUUUUAGACCUUGCUACAAGGCUCAUACUUCGCCUUCCAGCAAGCUCUGGGACUACAUCGGUACGAUGCAUCUGGCGAUGCAUCUCAGUUACAGAAUUUCUUUGAGGACUUUUGUUUUGACCCUGGCACCACGUGCCUGCGUCACCUACUACCAGGCUCGGGGACUAAGUGGGCACACUUCACCUUGCGGUGAAUUUGCUUGCUUUUUUGAUGUUUAUACCUUUCAAAAAAGUAAAGUGAGCACACUUCACCAGGAAAGAAAUCUUUUUUAAUUUAGAGCACCAUGCUUUCUUCGAACAACCUGCUUUUUCGAUGUCAAUGUUGAUCAACUGUCUUUUGAGUUGGUCAAAAUGCUGUUGCAACUGUUCGGGCAACUUUCCUGAAGACGUCAAGCCUCACUGAUCGAAGAAGCUCAAGACGGCGUGUUACAUCAUAAUACAUGGUGCUCGGGGACUAGCUGUGGGGGUAUAAACCCCUAUACCCUUACGACUGGACUUGGGCCAGGAGGCUUGGCCCAUUACGAGACGAGUUCAAAGCUUGAUCCGACAACCUGGAGUUCCGCGCAAGGAAACAAGAUGUGGAGAUCAAGCAGGAUUUCUGGUCGGUUAGAAUAGGAAUUGAUAUCGAAUUAUCCAUGGCAAUUGUAACCGACUAGGAUUAGUUUCUAGAUCUGUAACCCUGCCCUCCAGACUAUAUAAGGAGGGGCAAGGUACCCCCUAGGACAGAUUAUCUCUCAACACAAUCCAAUACAACCAGACGCAGGACGUAGGUAUUACGCCAACUCGGCGGCCGAACCUGGAUAAAAAGCUUGUCCGUGUCUUGCGUCACCAUCGAGUUCGUAGUUUGCGCACCGUCUACCGAUAAACUACUACCGUGGGUAUACCCCAAGGUCGACUGCCGACUAGCUUUCGUCGACAUCCGUCGGUUGGCCGCUAUCUAUAAAUACGCCGUGGCGUUGCUCCAUUCUUUCUUUCCCCUUCCGUCCUCUCGCCUUCGUCUUCUCGCUGCCUUUGCUCUCUUGCUUCCUCCACGCGCGCGUGCACCCCCUCGAGCGGUAGUGAAUCCACCAUUCUUCCAACCAAGAUGCCUGUGAGGCUUGUUGCCGCCGACGACUGGCGUCCGUCGUUGAUGACGGACCGCCGUCUGCUAGAGCUCGAGAAUGAAGGGCUCUUGUGCCGCCGCACUUCGCAGUCUUCGCCGGAGUGGAUCGCGCCGCCGGCGAGUCACAGGGAGCCCCAGCCACCCGAGGGCUAUGUGGUGUCAUUCGCCAAGUUCCACCGCCAUGGCUUGGGUGCUCCCCCAAGUCGCUUUAUGCGGGCCCUCUGCUUCCACUAUGGAGUGGAGCUCCAGCAUUUUUCCCCGAACGCCAUCACCGUCGCGGCGGUCUUCGUCGCGGUGUGUGAGGGCUAUCUGGGGAUGAUGCCCCAUUGGGAUCUAUGGCCCCACCGGAACCACCGGCGUGAGGAAACCCGUGCGGGCCGGAUGCCUCAACCUGGUGUUGAAGACGAAGAAGACGGAAAGGCCGCGCGAGUACAUCCCGGUGGGGCUGUCGUCGAAUCAUGCUGGGUGGGACUCCCAGUGGUUCUAUCUGAGAAACGACGACGGUCUCUUCCCCACCUACACGGGCCGUCUGAUCUCGGAGCGCCCAGACAACUGGACGUAUGGCGUCGUCCAGGAGCACCAGUCGCGGCUUGACCCCCUCCUCGACGCCAUGAAGAAGCUGCGCCUGGAGGGCCUGUCCGCCGCUCUCGUCCUUUCGGCCGUCCAUCGUCGGAGGUUCCUUCCCCUGACGUCUCGGCCGUUGAGGAUGGACGAAAUGGGGCUGGGCGUCUCGUCCCGGGAUCUCAAAGCUUGCCGGAUGUCCAACGUGGCUCUGGCGGACGAUGAAGUCGCCGCCCGGGUCAGGGCGGCCAUCGCCGGCGACUUCAAGUCGCAGCACGUCAAAGGCUUCCCCAUGAGGCCUGAUGAAGGCUCGGUCGAUCUGGUAUGUUUUCUUCCUCGCGGGUAGCCUUGACACUGGGUUCCUUUUCCACCCCCUUUUUCUAAGUCUACUUUUUACGGUGGCAGGGGCGGAUCGACGUUCGAUCCUCGAGGCCCCCGGUGAGGGUGGACGAAGUCGACCGCGACGCGCGGCGCCGGUCCGCCGAGAAGUCGAAGUCCGUCAAGGACUCUAAGAAGAAGGGGGAGAAGAAGAAAAACCUCGACCGGCAAGCCUUAGAGGCGCGCCGGUCCAAGUCCAGGCAGAGGGGAGAGCCUGAGGAAGAGUCCCCCAGCGAGAAAGAUGACGACGAUGACGAGGACAGUGAGGACUCCGAGGGGAUGGCGUCUCGUCUUGACCGGAUCCUCGGGGGUCCAUCUCAAGGCGACGUCGACGCUCCUCGGGCGGAAGCUCCGACGGGGGGCCCAGGCGGAUCCUACCGUCCUCGCGCCGAUACCCCUCCCGCGCCCAAGGUCAGCCAAGUCGUGCCGCGCCCUCCCCCGGCGCUCAGGGAGAGCGGUCAUGCCAGGCCCCAAGCGACGGGGCCACUGACCCGCGGUCGCGCAGCGGCCUCCGAGAAAGGAGAGGUCGGCCGCAGGAGCGCCAGUCCCGGCGCCCGUCAGGCGGGAACUGACGCACCUAGGCCAGCACCUGCCCUCGAGGGGCCUGGAGCCCUGACGCGGGGUGGCUCGAGGCCCACCAGUCGGGACGGAGGGAGGCGAGCUGUUCUCCCCGUGGGGUAAGCCUUCUCAAUGCUGUGGCUUUUGUCUUCCUGUUCCUCUGCGUUUGCUCAUAUACCGAUCUUUUCUCAGGCUAAAGCGGAUCCUCGAGCAGGCCCAGCCAUCCAUGGCAAAGAGGCUCAAAACGGGCGCCGCCUCCAAGAAACCAGGUUCGUAGUUUAUUUCUGGGCCUUGCGAUGUUCUUGUGUCGGUUAUUAUAACGUCUGACCUUUUUACCCUUUGUUUUGUAGGCUCCUCCAGUUCCCAACCUCCAGCCGGCGUCGAGAGGGCUCCGUCUCGUCCCGCGCCUAUUCCGUCGCUGCCGACUUGUGAUGAGGCGCCCCAGACGCAAGCGUCAGAGGGAGCCCCCGAUCCCCCUAGAUUGGGGGUCGAGGGGGAACCCAUCACCAUCAGCGACACGUCUGAUGGUGACAGAGCGUCUGGGGGUGCCCGCCCCAUGGAGGAGGAAACGUCGACCCCUCAUGUCGAGGGAUCAACUCCCUGGCCCGCCGGCCUCCGCACCCUCGAGGAGCAGAAAAAGAAGAGGGAGGGGGAUGAACAGCGGGAGCGCGAGGCGGCGCGGCAGCCACAGGAGCAUGAGGCACAGCAACAGCAGCAACAACAACAGCAGCAACAGCAACAGCAACAGCGGCAGCAGCAACAGCAACAACCGCAGGAGCAACCGCAGCAGCAGCAGCAGCACCCACCGCAGCAGCAACAGCAGCAGCAGCAGGCGGGCCAAGAGGAGGGACCGCUCGAGCCUCCGCCCUAAUGUCCGGCCCAGCCAGUGCCACCGGAGCCGCAAGAUCUCGGCGAGGAGGACUUGCCGGUGUACGGCCCCCCAACCCCGGCGUGGCUCCUCCUGGGGGCACCUGCCGCGAUCCGGGCAGAGCCGGGGCGAGCGGAUGGAGUGGUGGCGCUCGCCUGCCUGAAGCGCACGCCCCCCGACCCCCGAGUCCGAUAUCAAGAGGACAAUUUACGGCAUGGACGGGAUCGCCCCAGGGUUCCUCCGGGAACGUCGGGCGUGGGAGGACCGCUUUCCUUCCGAGGAGGAUGAAAUUGGGGCAUCGGGGACCAAGGAUGGAACCUGGAAGACGGUGGACGACGACGGACGGUUCCCAUGCCUCGUCGACCUGUUCCUGCGCCAUGGGGGCUCCCUCGAGACCGUCGAGGGCCUCAUCCGCGGCGUUAAGGCGCGGGCUGACCGGGAGAUGGAGCACUGGUGCCCCGACCGCAUCCGUAUCCGGGCCUCCCACGACCCGUCUGAGCCCGACAUCUUCCUCGACGAUCGGAAGGAGGCGGAGAAGUGGGAACACGUCGAGGAGCUCCGCCUUUGGAUGAAGCAUGUGGUGGGGCUCCUCUCGGACGUUAUCAACAACGGGCUCGGCCCGUAAGUGUUUCUCGAACUCCAAUCCUCAUGGUGCUUUCUGGUUUCUGUAUUCUAAUCCAUCCGACCCUUGAUUCGCAGGAUAUGAAAGAGACCUCCCGCAUCAAGUCCAGCUUCAUACACGCCACGAGGGGCGGUUGGGAGCAGCUCCCCCUCCUCAAGGAUCAACUCCUCGAGUCGCAGAAAAAGCUCCUUAAAGCUUACAAAGAUCUCAUAGCACUCGAGGAGGAGAAGAAGGCGAGGGAAGCUGCCUUGGCUGAGGCCCGAGAGGCCUCGAAGAAGGCGGAGAAGGAGACGAUGCAGCUACGGGAGCGGGCUCUUACGGUCGAGGAGGCCGCGUCCAGAGCCCGGGAGGAGGCCCUAUCCUACAAGAGCGUUAUCGCGGAUCUGGACAAGGAGAAGGGCCUCCUUAAAUCCGACCUGGACUCUCUCCGAGAGUCCUUCCGAAAAAUGAAGGUGGAGCAUGUGAACGGCGAGGUCGCCAGGGGCGCCGCGGAGGAAGCCAAGAAGAAGGCCCUCGAAGAUCUCGAGGCGGAGCGGGCUCGAUCCCGCAGUCUCUCUAACGACGUCGAGCGUCUGAAGGGAGAAUUGCUGGAGAAGAGUGGGGCCAUUGCUCAGGCUGGCAAGGCGAUCGAGGAUCUUCGCGUUACCAACACCGAGCUGGCACGCUCCAACAAAGAGAUCGAGGGGGCCAACACCAGGCUGGUCGGCGAGAACACGGCCCUCGAGGAGACCGUACGCGGUAUGUUUCCUCUAUCAGAUUUCUUUUUCCGAGGUGUGCUUAGUUUUUCCUAAGGUCUCUUUAUAUUGGCUUUUACAGGGCUCAAGGACGAACUCCUGGCCGCCCAAGCCGAGGCUCGCAACGCCAAGGCUCAGCUCGAGGCGGAGGUUGCUUUGAACCGUCGAGUGCGGACGGCGAUAAGUGAUCUCUCGACCUAUUGGGAGGUCGAGCCUAUGGAUGAGUCGAGGGAGGACGCUCGAGGCGACGCCCUGGUCGACCAGUUGUGCUACAUAGGCGCGACGCUGCGAGAUCGGGUGCGGGACGCCCUCCACAUCGGGGUGAAGCGGGCGAUGGCGGUUGUCUGCUCGGGCUUCUCCUACGACAUGGAGGUGGUGUCCCAUGGCUUCGUCACCGACAUCUCCAAGACCGAUGCGUAGAAUGAGGAGAGGCUCCAUGCCUUGAUCGACGACGCAGAGGCUCCUGGGGAAAGGUUGGCCAAGCUUUUCGAGCCUGAGGUGCUCCCUCCUGAGGCUAGCUCGGGCGGAGGCGAGGGCGGUGAGGAUCGUGCCGCGGACUGAGGCCUGCGAGCCUGCUCAGGGCGCCUGAGGCCCCUUGUACGAUACUUUGUUAAUUCUGUGGGUAACUGAUGUUGUAUCACUUUCGUAAUUGUUAAAUGCUUAUUUUGUCUUUCCGCUUGAUGCUUUCGUUUCUCUUUGCGCCUACGUUUGUAUCCCUUGCUCGAUUUUUCGUAAAAGACCACCUCGAUCACUUCAAUGGUGGGGAAGUGAGUAGAGUUUCCGUAGCCCGGGGGCGUAGGAGUUCUCCAGCUCGUUGUCCCUCAGCCUUUGAGGGGCUCGAGGCGCCUUAGGUACUUGAACCGUGCAAGGUUUACUACGUAAGAAAAGAAAACUUCUUGGUUUUUUCAAUACUCGGGGGGGGGUCAUCCCCCUGGUAGCCCCCGAGGGGGUGCUGACUAUGACGGGUCAUAGUCGGCGCCCCCUUUUAACGUCGAGAUCGUGACUUAUUAAUCUUCUCGGCACAAAGAAAGAAGAAUUGUUUCGAGGGAAGGACUUUAUUUAUUCAUUCAUUCGUUUACAAAGUCUCGGUACAAAACGUAAGCAGGAACAUAAGUUUAGAACUUCUAGGGGUAGAAUCGACGUAGCUGUUCGAUGUUCCAUGCGUUGGUGAGAAUUGCCCCCUUUUCGUCCGCCAGCUUGUACGUUCCCGGCUUCAGGACCUCGGCCACCACGUACGGACCUUCCCAAGGCGGAGUCAGCUUGUGGCGUCCAUGAUUGCUUUGCCGGCGUCGUAGGACUAGGUCGCCCACGUUGAGGUCCCUCUUGCGCACAUGCUUGUCGUGGUAGCGUCGAAGCCUUUGGUGAUAUCUGGCAGAGUUGAGGAGGGCCAUGUCUCUAGCCUCCUCAAGUUGGUCGACCGCGUUUUCUUGAGUCUCUUUGUUCGAUUGCUCGUUGUAGGCCUUGAGUCGAGGUGACCCAUACUCGAGGUCUGUGGGGAGGAUAGCCUCAGAGCCGUAGAUCAUGAAGAACGGGGUGGAUUUUGUGGCCCUGCUUGGUGUUGUCCUAAGGCUCCAUAGGACUGAGGAAAGCUCCUCGACCCAUUUUUUGCCGAAUUUCUUCAAUCGAUUGUAGAUCCUUGGCUUGAGUCCUUGCAAAAUCAUGCCGUUGGCACGCUCGACUUGGCCGUUAGUUCGAGGAUGGGCUACUGCAGACCAGUUGACGCGGAUGUGAUGCCGAUCGCAGAAGUCCAAGAACUUUUUGCCGAUGAACUGGGUGCCGUUGUCGGUGAUGAUGACAUUGGGGAUCCCAAACCGAUGGAUGAUGUCGGUGAAGAAAAGGACGGCCUGCUCGGAGCGGAUGUUGGUGAUGGGUCGAGCCUCGAUCCAUUUGGAGAACUUGUCAAUGGCCACCAGCAAAUGGGUGAAUCCUCCUUUCGCCUUUUGUAGAGGUCCUACUAAAUCGAGCCCCCACACCGCAAACGGCCAGGUAAUGGGGAUCAUCUGAAGAGCGUGGGCAGGCAGAUGCGUCUGCUUGGCGUAGAACUGACACCCGUGACAUGAUCGUACGAGCUCGAUGGCGUCCGCCACGGCCGUUGGCCAGUAGAAGCCUUGUCGAAAAGCGUUCCCUACAAGGGUCCGUGGAGCGGCGUGGUGACCGCAAGCCCCCGAGUGCAGGUCAUCGAGGAGUUUUCGGCCUUCUUCCACGGUGAUGCAACGUUGUAAGACCCCCGUCAGGCUCCGUCGAUAUAGCUCGUUGUCUUCGCCAUAGAUCACAUAUGAUUUGGCCCGUCGAGCGAUACGACGAGCUUCUGACCUGUCUUCUGGCAACUCGCCGCGGAUAAGGCAGUCGAGGAACGGUGUGCGCCAAUCGAAUGGUCGACCUGGUCAUCGUUCUAUCUCCAUCAUCUCUUCCACCAUCAAGAGCGUAUCGACAGCAUUGGUUGGUUGGGCGGUGGUGGCGUCGACGCCAGCCCCCGUGCCUAGGUCGACGGAUGGCUCGUGAAGAUCUUUUGAGAAUGCAUCAGGCGGCACCGUGCCUCUGGUCGAUGCGAUCUUGGCGAGUUCGUCGGCUGCCUCAUUGUAGCGUCGAGCGAUAUGGACAAGCUCGAGACCGUGGAACCUGUCCUCGAGUCGACGGACCUCCUUGCAGUACGCUUCCAUUUUUGGGUCGUGGCAGCUCGAGGUUUUCAUUACUUGGUCGAUGACGAGUUGGGAGUCACCUCGGACGUCGAGGCGUCGGACUCCUAACUCGAUAGCGAUCUUGAGACCGUUGAUGAGGGCCUCAUAUUCUGCGACAUUGUUAGAUGCGGCAAAAUGAAUCCUGAUUACGUACCUCAUGUGGACGCCCAAGGGUGAGAUGAACAGCAGGCCGGCUCCGGCUCCAGUUUUCAUGAGUGACCCAUCGAAAUACAUCGUCCAUAGCUCCGCCUGGACCUGGGUCAGGGGGAGCUGGGUGUCCGUCCAUUCUGCGAUGAAGUCUACCAGGGCCUGCGAUUUGAUGGCCUUGCGAGGCGCAUAAGUGAGAGUCUCACUCAUGAGCUCGACCGACCAUUUUGCUAUUCUUCCCGUGGCUUCUUUGCUCUGGAUUAUUUCGCCUAAAGGAAAAGACGAGACCACCGUGAUGGGGUGGCCAAGGAAGUAAUGCUGCAGCUUGCGACGGGCAAGGAUUACGGCAUAAAUCAGCUUCUGGAUUUGGGGAUAACGUGUUUUGGUCUCCGAAAGCACCUCGCUGACGAAAUAUACUGGCCUCUGAAUCGGUAACGCAUGUCCCUCCUCCUGCCUCUCGACCACCACCGCUGCGCUGACGACCUGGGACGCCGACGCGACGUAGAGGAGCAGCGGCUCUGCAGGUUGAGGUGGAACCAGGACUGGUGCCGAGGUCAGCGUCUUCUUCAGCCUUUCGAGUGCUUCCUCGGCCUCGGGGGUCCAAGAAAAGCGCUCGACCUUCUUUAGGAGUCGAUAUAAUGGUAAUGCCUUUUCUCCUAGUCUCGAGAUGAAACGGCUCAGAGCCGCCAGGCACCCCGUGACUCUCUGUACACCCUUGAUGUCUCGGAUCGGCCCCAUUUUCGUGAUGGCCAAGAUUUUCUCGGGGUUGGCCUCGAUGCCGCGCUGCGAAACGAUGUAUCCUAGGAGCAUGCCUCGAGGCACACCGAAAACGCACUUCUCGGGAUUGAGCUUGAUCCGGCUGGUGCAUAGGCAGCUAAAGGCAAUCUCGAGGUCCUGGAUCAGGUCUCCUCGUCGCUUUGACUUGACGACAAUGUCGUCGACGUAGGCCUCGACCGUUGACCCUAUAUGUUUGCCAAAUACGUGGAGCAUGCAACGUUGAUACGUGGCUCCCGCGUUUCGAAGCCCAAAUGGCAUGGUCACGUAGCAAUACAUCCCAAAAGGCGUGAUGAAAGAGGUCGCGAGUUGGUCGGACUCCUUCAUUUUUAUUUGGUGGUAACCAGAAUAUGCAUCAAGGAAAGAAAGGGUUUCACAUCCCGCGGUAGAAUCGACAAUCUGAUCAAUGUGUGGCAAUGGAAAGGGAACUUUUGGACAUGCUUUAUUCAGACUAGUAUAAUCGACACACAUCCUCAUUUUCCCAUUCUUUUUCUUAACUAAUACAGGGUUUGCUAACCAGUCAGGAUGAUGAACCUCCUUGAUGAAUCUGGCCGUCAAAAGCUUGUGGACUUCCUCGCCAAUGAUCUUGCGCUUCUCCUCAUCGAAUCGGCGCAACCGCUGCUUCACUGGCUUGGAACCGGCUCGAAUCUCCAAGGAGUGCUCGGCGACUUCCCUUGGUAUGCCUGGCAUGUCCGAGGGACUCCAUGCAAACAUAUCAGCAUUUGCACAGAGAAAGUCGACGAGCACGGCUUCCUAUUUGGGGUCGAGGUCGGCGCUGAUCGUUAGCACUUUGCCGUCGGAGUUGUUGGGGUCGAGCGGGAUCUUCUUGGUUCCUUCCGCCGCCUCGAAGCUGCCCGCAUGACGCUUAGGCUCUGGAGCCUCAGCGGCCAUGGCCUCGAGCUUUGCAACGAGCUCGGUGGAGCUCUCGACCGCCUCCCCGUACUUGACGCACUCGACGUCGCACUCGUACGCGUGCUCGAAGGAGGAACUGACAGUGAUGAUGCCUUUGGGACCAGGCAUCUUCAGCUUCAAGUAGGUGUACUUGGGUAUAGCCAUGAACUUGGCGUAGCCCGGGCGCCCGAUGAUGGCGUGGUACGUGCCUCGGAACCCAACCACCUCAAAGGUGAGGGUCUCCUUCCUGAAGUUGGCCGCCGUGCCGAAGCAGACCGGUAGGUCAAUUCGACCUACUGGCAGUGCCUUUUUCCCUGGCACGACGCCAGGGAAACCGCCGGCGCUUGGCUGGAGGCGUCCUCUAUCGAUGCCGAGGAGGUCGAGGGUCUCGAGGUAGAUGAUGUUGAGGCUGCUGCCACCAUCCAUCAGCACUUUCGAGAGUCGGGUGUUGACGAUGAUGGGGUCGACGACGAGCGGGUAGACGCCCGGGGCGACUACCUUGUCGGGGUGGUCCUCUCGGUCGAAAGUGAUAGGAGUGCUUGACCAGCUAAGGUACUGGGGCACCGCCAUUCUUGCCGCAAAGACUUCGCGACGCUCCCUUUUGCGCUGCCUCAUGGUUAAUUGAGUCGAGGGCCCGCCAUAGAUCAUGUAGCAGUCGUGGACGGCGGGGAAGCCGUCGUCAUCUUUGUUGUCCUCCUUGCUGCCAGCCUUCUCUUUCUUGGAGUCAUCACGCGUAUCUUUUUUGAACCCCAGACCGUCGAAAUGCUUUCUCAGCAUACGACAGUCCUUGAGCUUGUGGUUGGCGCCUCCCUUAUGGUAAGGGCACGGCUCCUCCAACAUCUUGUCAAAGAUGCCUCCAUCCGGAGGGCCUCGAGGCUUCUUUCGAUCCAUGGCGGCGACAAGGUUGUCAUCGGAAUCUUCCCGGUGGAACUGCCGCACUUUCUGCUUCUUUUUAUUUUUCUUGAGGCCUCGACUGGGGGUCCCAUCUUCGUCGACGGGCUGCUUGCCUUUUCUUCCUUCUGAGCUGAAGAAGGCGCCGACUGCCUCCUCCCCUGCCGCGUAGUUGGCUACUACGUCCAUCAGCUCGUCGACGGUCUGAGGUCGAUUGCGACCUAAUUCCCGCACCAAGUCUCGACUGGUGGUGCCCGAGACAAACGCCAAGAUGACGUCGUGGUCAGGGAUGUGCGGCAGCUCAGUGCGCUGCUUUGAGAAGCGUCGAGCAUACUCCCGAAGAGUUUCUCCCGACUUCUGCUUGCACUUGCUGAGGUCCCACGAGUUCCCUGGCCGUAUGUAGGUCCCUUUGAAGUUACCCUCGAAGACUCUGACCAGAUCAACCCAGUUGUGGAUCUGAUUGGCAGGGAGUUCCUCGAGCCAUCGACGGGCGGUGUCGGAGAGGAAAAGGUGUAGCUGUCUGAUGAUGGCUCGAUCAUCACCUCGAGCGCCACCUAGCUGACAGGCCAGCCUGAAGUCGGCCAGCCACAACUCUGGUUUGGUCUUUCCAUUGUACUUCGCGAUGCUGGUCGGGGGUCGAAAUGGAUUGGGCAGGGGCGUGCUGCGGAUCGCCCUGCUGAACACCCGUGGGCCUGGUGGCUCGGGGGCCACCCGGUCCUCGUCGCUGUCGUAUCUCCCACCGCGAUGCGCGCUAUAACCGCGCUCUUCCGCGUCUCCGUGCCGGCGGCGUCAAUUUUCUUUGAUGUCGUGAAACGCGUCGUGUCGACGUUGAUUGUCGACGGGGAGGAUGAGAGCGGUCUUUCUACCUCGAGGGGGAGGUUGUUGAUGGACUGACACCUCCUCUUCGUUUAGAGGCUGUUCGUCGCGCUUCUCUGUGGCAGCUCCUCGUCGUCGAGACGCCGAACUUUUGGCUUGUUGAACCGCCGCCACCUGGAGCAAUGUCUGUACCUCAUCUCGAAUGCGUCGGGCCUGGGAAUUCGACGGCUCUGGGAAUUCGACACUUCCGCCCGGCGGGUAGGGCAGGUCUUGCUCGAGGAUUUGCUUGAGGAGGACGAGGCGCUCGCGGUCUUCGUCGAGCUUCAUCUUGAGCUCCCGCAGCUGCGCGAGCUGCGCGGUUCUGUCUUCCUGAGGAGGGGGGUCGACCUGUCCGUCGUUCCCAGGCGUCCUGGGGUCUUCUCGCGCCGUGGGGGCUCGACCACCCGCAGCAGCAUCCUGUGUCUCGUCAGUAGUUUCUACCGCCCCGUCGAUGUGAUAGCAUUCCCUCGUAGGGUCAUAGCUAUCUGUCUCGGAGUCGGAGUCCGGUUCGGCGGCGUAGAAACACCCACGUCCUUCCUCCAGCAAUCGUUGCCUGAGGGAGGUGAUCGAGUAUCGUCCGGGGCCUAGACGACGGAGGCCUUGUACUCGGGAAAGGUCCGGCAGCUCGGACGCCGGCCGCCGCGCUUCAGAGCUACGUGGGAGGACCAUUGGUCUUUCUACGUACAUCUGGGCGUUUGGGCAUAUCGCCCUGGCGAGCGACGCCGCGGCAUUGUCCAAUCCGAACGGCAGUGCCGCUCUUGGAGAGAACAACCCGUGUGGAAGUAGCCUAGCUGCGGUGGGGGAGAGCGCGCGAGACGCGUCCCCUCCCGUCGUCGCGCGGUGCUGAGUCGUCGCGCUUGUUGCUCCGUCACACGGUGCUGCCGACUUGUGGCCUACGUCCUGCCUGGCACGAGUUGUUGGUCGUGCUGAAGCAGAGGGGCCGCAGUGGUGCUGUCCGCGCCUCUUCUUAGGCGGGGAGGCGUGGUGGUGAGGGCGUCUCGGGGCCUUCAACCGUGCUGGCGUAACGCGGGCUCCUCCUUGUCCUUUGACUGAGAGCAAGAUCAUGUCGUAGCCGGAGCCCGUAGACAUGAACUCGAGACUCCCAAACCAAAUCACCGUGGAGCGCGGAAACGGCGAGGCAAGAGUAGCCAUCCGGAAAGGAGUGGGAAAUCGAUGAAAAACACGCAGGACCCCUACCUGGCGCGCCAACUGUCGGUGUUUUUCCCCCGGGGGGUCACACCAACGAGUAAAUUUGUAUGCGUGCUCCCUUUCCCGGAUGGUGAUGCAAGAAGACACAGAGAUUUAUCCUGGUUCGGGCAAGAGAAGGCCCUACGUCCAGCGGGGGGAGAGAGUUUGUAUUAUCUUGCACCUAAGUGCUUGUACAGGGGCGAAUACAAGCGUGGUAUGAAGUGUGGAGCUCUACUACGUAUGAGCGUGGUCUUGUGUCGUGAUCUCCCUGUUCUAUUCCUGAGUCCCUCCUUUUAUAGUUCCAAGGAAGGGCCUAGGGUACAUGUAUAGGUGUAGGAAUUGGAGUCGAUAGCAGCAUGGAGCGCUGACCUACUCGAGGUUUCCGUACCGGCAUGCCCUCGAGCCGUCCCGUCUUAAUAGCCUGGUGAUGAUCACGCGUGCCCCUGCAUUCUGCUCUGCACGCCGUCUUGGAUUGGUUCGGCGGAUGCACGCUUAUAUGGCUCGGCGGCAAAUCCGGCGGAGCGGUUACGGCGUGGUCAGUCGACGCCCGACUCGUCUCCAGGAAGGAGCCUGGUGAAGUCGAGGGUCGGACGCCGUACGAGGUGUCGAUAUCUGGAGCGCUGACCUUGGGUGUCUCGAGGGGGUCCCGAUUAGACGUUCCAUCCUUGUUUCCCGCGUCCUGACAUGCCCUGGGUCGUUCGGUGGGAAGGCUGCAAAAAGAACGAUGGGACAGAAGCCUGUUCCCUAUCACGCCUCCCGUGACCCGUGUGUUAGGUGGGGAAGCGUCAGGUGCAUUAAAUGCCCUGGCUCUCGCGCGCGCGUUAGGCGGCGGACAGUGUCCUUGCACUCGACGCCUCUCGGUUCGCUCGAGCCCGCUUCCGUAUUCGACGACAGUUGUCGCUCGAGCCCUGACCGAUUCGCUCGACGCUAUUUCCGUCUUCGAGGCUGCGGCCGUCGAUGGCCGCGCGUGUGUACGGAUGGUCUCGUUAUACGCAUUGGUGAGGGUACCCCUUGUUGAUACCCUCGACAAAGUGUUUUACGCGCCAGACCCAAAAAAGCAAAUUGGUGCAGUGUGCUUAGAGUUCUACCUAGAAACCUAUUUGCCAUGCCUAAAGGAGAAGGUAUUGACCAGGUGUGCGAGCUUGAUCUAGAUUCAGUUGUUGUUGGAGUGGAAGACAUGGUUCUUGAACAGCAAAAUGAAGAUGUGAGCACUUGGAGUAGGUCUGGCAUUGACGGUGUUACUAUUGAUGCUUCUGUUCUUGAUGAGAUUCGUGCAACACUAAUGGCUGAACCUGUCGAUGACCUAUUUGGUGAUGAUGAUGAGCCAGAUGACACUUACACUGCUGAUGGAGUCGUCCCUCAAUUCUUGACUACUGGAGAAGAUUCAGAUGAUGAUGAUUUUUUUGUGUAAUAAUUUAAACAAGAGAUAUUAGCAUUGCUUUUGUGUAAUAUUUGAAAAAUGAACUAUCAGCUUGUAGGUGUAGCAGAUAAUAUAUGUUUACUGUGAUUCAUAAAUAAAUUUGAACAAAUGAAGUAGAACUCAUAGUCAAGCUCCAGUACUAUACAGUGCAAAAGUAAAAAAUUCGCCACAACUUAUGACACAGACAUAAUUAUUUCAAGCAGACAAUUAUGACACAGACAAUAGUUAUAUAAAACAUUAGCCAUAGUGGUUCCAAGCAACGAAGCCAUCAUCAUCAUCACGUCACUUGCCAACAUAGUUCCUACCAGUUUUCUUAAUUAAACUGGAUCACAUGACAACAACCACAACUGACAUUUCACAUGGCUGCAGAUCCAGAUAAUUCCAACUGUUUUCCUACCAGCAAAAGCCUUACUACUCUCAACUAACCACCUACUGACAUUAGAGCAACAACUUGCAUUAACUUAUUUAUGCUACAGCAAAGGUCUUCCUACCAGACAGCAUGCCAAGGACUUCAUUUCUUUGGCUUGUACUUGGCCUUGAUCUUGUAGUACAAAUCAUCAAAGAUAAAGUCAAUGUCUUUCUUCGACUCCUUGCCAUACCUACGUGCAUUAUCAUCAACGCAUGCCUUUGCCUCGUCCUUAGCGCAUUUGAUCGCCCACUGCAGCAUGUCCAUGUUGUCGGGUGGGUGAUGCUCCAUACAGCCAGACAUGGAACCGCUAGUGUCUGUCAGCCACUCGUACGAAGACACAUCUUCCUCAACAAAGUCAAUCUGAAAAUUAGUAGAUAGUAGUUCGAAAGACAAUAACUUCACAUGAAUGAUGAAAUCAGCUGUUGAUCAACAAAACAAGCUGUAGUUCUUGGUUAGUAAUCAUGAGUUCAUCCUGAGCUAAGCAUUAAAACUCAAGUAGAUUAUGGAUGAGUGAGCAAAGUAUCCUUCUGACUAUAUGCCUGAACUUCAACUUCUAUGAUGUAGGGUUAGUGUCUUAGCGAGCCAGUGGUCACCAAACUAGCAGAGGAUUAUGACCACAUUAGCAAUUCAAAACCACAUAAUACCAUGGUACGUUGCACGGUCCACCAAAGGUGUCACACGUUGAAAAACUGACAAAGCUUCAAAGAGGCGUAACACAAGAUAUAAACAACACAUAAGAUAGAAUCUGCCACAUACAACAAUAGUAUACUAAAACAACUAUACCUAAAGAUCUAUGAUAUCUGGGAACAUGCCACAGAAUGAUGUACAUACAUAAAACAGCUAUAACUUAAGUUAUAGAACUCCAGUAGUUCAUCACUUGUUUCGCUAUUAAGGUUAACCAUGUAUUAGCAAUUCAUAGGUCAUGAAACACUUAUUAAUAUGUCUAUUUGAUAUUAAUCACAGUUAUCUACCACAUAUUAAACAUGACUUAGCUAAAACGUGUCACUAAAUAUUCAUGCAUUGAAAUAUUAACAUAACUUGCUCUGUACUAUAAUUAUUAAUAGCUCAUAUAAAUUUCAUGCAAGGUAGAGGAACAUUCUUUUCCAUUUUCACAUACAUGCAUGCUUUAUAGCCCUAAUAUUCCUUUUUAAUGAGCUGGGAGCAAGUUUAAUUAAUAACUCAAGAAAUAAUAUACCAAAAAUCACAAGAUAAAUCACAGAGCAUCUACAACACAUCAGGAAGCUAACACAAAAAUUGCACAUCGAUCAAAUGAAGCAUCACAUUUCAUGGAGGGAGGGAGGAGGAAGGGGGAUUUCCAUACCUUCUUCUUCUGCUUGGACGCUGACGCCCCCCCGUCGAUGGCCUUCUUGUAAGAGGCGGAUCCCUUCUUCAUGGAUGCAGACGUCGGCCCCCGUAAGGGGGUCCCUUCUUCUUCGACGUGGGCGUCGCCCCUUUGGUGGUCCUCUUGAAUGUGGCGGAUCCGCUCUUCUCAGUGCGUGCCGGUGCUCGCUCAACUUCCUUCUCCUUCCCGGCGGCGGCAGCGGCAGCGGACCUCUUCUCAGUGGCGGCCAGUGGGACCUCGGAGUCAGAGUCGGAGUCCACGAGGAUCAGAAACCUGGGCGGCGGCGGCGGCGGGCCUGCGUGCGUGGCGGCGAACUGGCCACGCUCGUUGCGGGCUUGCGUGCGCGCGUGCAAGCUGCGCUUGGUGCCAGCCAUGGCGGCGCACCUUCGUUGCCGCUUCGGAUUCGUCUUCACCUCGCAGCCGUCGCUCGGGUGGGGGAGGUGGGGGAUUGGGGAAUGACGAGGUGGGGGAUUGGGGGGUUGGGAGGCAGGGUGCCCACGGAGACCAGAAGUAUAUAGCGUAGUGGGCCGGCCCAUUUAACUACUUCCAAGCUAAUGUGUUUGAUGCCCUCAAGAAUAGCACCACCUCGUCAGUUUGGAGAUAUCAAACAUAGGUUAAAAGCUCAAGGGAGGCAGCCACUUCGAACUCCUUGUUACACAUGUUAUCUGAUACUGGUUUGGGCCUGCUUGGGCCUGUAAGCUUUGUUGGGCUCCCUUCUUCGGUUGAGCCUGAUGAGUCAACUGGCCCUAUGCAGGCCAACAUUUUUUCAUUUUUAAACAAAACACUAACACUUAUUCACUUUUUUUUACAAAAUUUUACUAGAAAUUUUUAAACAAAAUACUAACACAAUACACCAGUACUUUGAGUACGUUUAUAACUGAUUAACAUCAAUGAUACUACUAGCUAUAACUUACUGAUACUACUAGCUAUAAUUUAUCAGUACGAUUGACCACCACCAAAAGUACUAGCUAUUCAUUACUGAUUAAGUUCAGAUAACUUAGGAACACACUAGGUCCUGCCAGGCCAUACCAUUAACAUCCACAAGACUAUGUCCUACGCUCCUACCUUAUCAUAUAUUUACAAAAAAAAAAAUCUUACUUGUUUGAUACCUCUGGUUUUACAAUUUUUUUUACUCAAUGGUAAGUCUUGCUUGUUUGAUACCUCUGGUUUUACAAUUUUUUUAUACUCAAUGGUAAGUCUUGCUGUUCGUAGUUCAUACAUGAUACAUCAAUAAUAACAUACAUCACAUAGGGGUAUAUCUCUGCUAUUUGGGCCUCCAAGUUAUUUGGGUCGAUAGAAAUGAAUCCCAAGGCCAAAUAGCGGCGCUAAACUAACCUAAUUUAGCGAAAUUAGUGUGCUAUUAGCCGCUAAUAGCGGGAAUAAUCAUUUAGCGUUAAAAUCCCCAUAGCUUAGCAGUCCUCUUCCACAAACGCUAAAUGACGCUAUAGCGUCCGCUAUAGCGCGCUAUUUAGAACAGGGCUACUACUACUACUAUCACCACCACCACCACUACUACUACUAUCACUACUACAUACUAUAACGAGUAUCAUGGAGUAUCAUUACUACUACUACUACUACUACUACUACUAUCACUACUACUACUAUCUCUACCAUGCCGUAUGUGACAUCUUGUCCUAUCGAGUAUCAUGGAGUAUCAUGGCACAUCUACCUAACUUCAUAAUUACUCUUGUCCUAAAUCAAAUGUCAUGGCAUAUGGCACAAAGUACCACAUUAAGUUGUUGUAUAACUUUUGAUACUUGUCACACUCAUGAUCGAUCUUGAUCAAUAAAAUCAUGGUUAAACAUCUUACUACUAAGUAUUUAUGAAACUCAUAAAUAAGUUAUAUUUAGUUAUUUAUUUUGAAGAUAUAGCAGUUUGUUUAUAUUUUAAAUUUUUUAAAACAUUUUUUUAAUAAACUUUAAAAUUUAUUAAAACUUAAUUGAAAGGGCAGGGGCACCUAAGUGUGCUGUACCAAAAAUUUGGGCGCCAAUUUUUCAUGUCGCGUGCACAGUUUCAGCCGAGCGCGAAAAAUUCUCCGUGUCCCCUCCUGUCCCCGCCUCCCAGCGUGAUAGGGAAAUAAUUAACCUCCCAGCUAAUAUCUCUUUCCCAAAUCCUAAUUACUCCAGCACCCACUCCGACUGUAGGCAAAGCCAUGGUGCCGCCGCCGCCAUCCAGGACGCCAACGACGCCAACUCGGUCCAGGGCGUCCCCUACGUCGAAUCCAUCGUCGAGGCCACACCCGGCGACGCCUCCAGCCAGGAGAUCGCCUCCUCCUCAGGGCAUCAGCUCCCGAAACGACGACAACUCCUCUAGCGCUGGUCGAUAUAUUGAAGCCACCCUCGAAAUCGAAGACGACAAUGGAUUCACCACUUCAUAUACCCCUAGGUACAUUGUUUGUGUAAUCUAGUUUAUUAGAUUUGUGAUUUUUGCCCCACGGCAAUACUGGUGGAGCCCAGUGGAGUUAAUUAGUUGAAGUACAUGUGUUGAGAUCAAUGUUUUUCUUUAUGUAUCCAUCAAUUCAAGUUUUUCUGUUCAGAGGUUGCUUUGGAUAGUUUCACAUUUUUAGCCCACUAAAUUAAUCUGUAUAUGUUCAUGGCUGUGAGAAUUUUUUCUAGAUUGUGUUACUUUUUGAUCUAAUAAUCCAUGUUCUUCUGAUGAGUGAGCUACUCGCUUUGCUUACUUGAAAUUACCUGAUGGCUUGGUGAUGCUGUCUAUUUUGGGUGAUUGAUGAGUGAAAUCAUAAAAUUACCUCAGUAGUUGAUAUGUGUUGCAUCUGAUUACAAUUGUACUAUAUACUAUGUUUGUUUACGAAUUAUGCUUCUUCACACCUUCACCACUUGUGUUCCUUUGCUUAGGCACUGUUUGGUCAAUUAGAGGAAUUACCGUGCUCCGUCUUUCUGUUUGUGCAUUAGCAAUAGUAUCUUUUAUUACACGCCUCCUAGAUUUCAGUCACCUGGACAAUUCAGGCAACUUCAGUUAGGUGUGGUGGGAUUUUUUCUGGUGAGAUACUGUCAAUCCAUAGAUGAGAAAGCCAUGGGAAACAGGCCAGACCAGCAGAGGUGGCUGCCUAAUAUUGCUAAUGAAAUCUUAUCAUACCAGUUUCAGCUUCAAAUGAAAUCUUUCUUGUUUAGUUGCUACUGCAAUUUGCCUGGCUUAAAAUUUAAUUGUUUACUAUAUACAUGUGUAUUUACUUAUCAACCUUUAUCCUAUCAGUGCAGUGGUACAGGUAAAUUAUGGACUAUUUAUGUUCAUUGCAAGAAUGGACUUCCAGAUCAGGAGUAUGUAAUGUUCAAAGUAGAAAGGGCUGCUAUAAAAUUGUCAGUCUUGACAUCUAUGAAGGAUCAACUUGGAUACGCUGCUCGGGACUUUUUGUAUUACAAGAAGCGUUGUGGAACAGAUGUAGCUAGUCUUGAGCCUAUCGAUUAUAUCAAACAUGCAGAGAUGAGCCAUCAAAAUUGGUGAGAUUGGCUUACAACCUGAUAGACAAGCACUUUCAGCAGCUGAGGAGAACAUGAUUUUCCAGUCAACCUACAAAGAAACCACACAAAUCAAAUCAUCCAAAAUACAUGGGAAUGGUUAUAUGGCUAAGUACCGAACUCGCAAAGAACUUAUGCAAGAAAACCUUGAAGUACAUGCACGUGUUGAAGCUGCAGCCAGAGAGAGGAACAUUGCUUUUGAAGCAGAGGUUCAACAGCUGAAAGAACAGAUUGCAAAUGAAGCCGCUGAAAGGGAAAGGGAGAGAGAAGAAAAUAGGAGAAAGAUGCAAGAGGAUCUGGAAAAUGCUAAGGAAAUAAUGAGAGAACAAAUGAAGCAAGAGUUGCUUAAUAUGCUAGCGCAGCACAAAGAAGGAACUUUGAAUAUGGUAAUAUUUUUAUAUUUCCUUUUAAUCCUAUGUGCUGUUAAUAAACUUUUGAUGAUGAUGAUGAUGCCUAAUCUAUUAGGUCAACUUUUUUGUGUGCAGAGUGCCGUCCAAAAUAAUGACAGCACACAAAUUACACCUACAAUAGAAGAGGAACAUGAUAAUGCUGAACAUGGAAAUGAUGGCACACAAAUUGAUAGUUUGAUUCCACAAGUAAUGCCCAUUCCUACACUAAGUUCUAAAUGAUAUUGAGUUAUUUACCUUGAACUGUAGCUAAAAUUGAUCAAACGAUUUAUUUUUUGAAGUGUGAGCCUGCAAGCGUUGUCACCAUACAAAAAGCCGCAUCUACUCGUUCUGGGGUCAACAAAAAUGCUACUGGAGUCAGCAAAAAUCUUUUUAGCGAAAAAACUACAAAUGGACAAUCACAGAAGACUUAUAUCACUCAGCAACAGCUGAUGAGUAGAACAAGAAAUGGCAAAAAGAAUAAGCAGGUAAUCUAAAUUCCUGUUUUGUUGUGUUCUUGAAUACAGAGUGCACCAAUUUGGAGUUUAGUGACACAUCAAAUGUGAUUAAUCUUGUAUAUACAAGAUGUAUGGGUACAUUUACCAUAUGUGAUGAGACCAGCAGCUGGUGUAUAGAUACAACAUGUCAGGUUUUGACCUUGCUGUGCAAAUUAGAUGUUAUUUCUGAUGUUUGACAUUGAGAACUAAAGAAUUUAUUAUUUGUACUGCUGCUGUUGUAUAGCGGCUUAUUAUUUUUUGAAUGCACAAGCUUAUUAUUGACCAGCACCUUAUUAUUUUUUGAAUGCACUGUACUGCUGCUGUUGCAUAGCAAAAACUGUGGUAACUAAAAAUUAGUGGAGUCAUUUAGAGAAUGGCUACAGUUUUGCACAAGCAUUUUCUCUUUGUUAGUUUGACUUGGGAAGGGCCUCAACCUAGAGAAAGGCCUAAGCUUAAUUAAAGUGACAACAAUGUUUCCAUUAUUUUUAUAUUAAGUUUACCUUUGCUCAAGUACAACCAUGUCAUAUUUCAAUCUCUUUACAUUUUCUGAAUGAUGUAGUAAACUUACUAUUUUACUAAUAUCCUUUUGUUACUCUUUUCACAGUAAGUGGACAAGGUUUCAGUUGGACGCUCAUAAUCAAACAAGGUCAUAGCCUAGGAGAGGACAAGCUGCUCAUCAAGCAAAGUAUCGACAAUUUCAUAGAUUAUAGGAAGUUGCAUUUUUAAAAUAGUUGUGAGACAAUGAGUGAACUGAUAGUACUGUUGUUUGGGAUGAUUUAUUCCAUGUAAACUCGCUUAUGGUUUGUCAAUAUAUUGAAUGAUUUAUUAUAAUUGAUAUAUACAAGUGCAAUCACUUUUGAUUGGGAUGUUGAACCAACUUAGUAGAUGCUAGUACUGUUGCAAUAAAAAAUGUAUCCACGAGCUAUGAUGCUAGGCUAUAUGACAUAUGGCAACAAAUUAAUUGCAUUACAAAAGGCUCUAUCGCCACGACAUUACCAAUGUUGCAAUAACAUUUGAUAUAUCGCAACAACUAAAAUUAAGUUGCAAAUAAAAAUAUUGCCACAUCAAAACAAUCGUGGCAUUAUCAUAUCAACUUUUGCAACGACUAAAAAAGCAUAGCAAAAGUUAGUAUUGCUACGAAACAGUGACUGUAGCCACAUCUUACUCUUACAACAAAAAGUAACGUUCAUAGCAAAUUAGGUACUUGCCAUGCUAAGACUUGCGUGGCAAAUUAUGUACUUGCCACGUCAUGCCGUUCGUUGCAAAUUAUGUACUCGCCACGAUACGACUUUCGGGGCAAAUUAUGUACUUGCCACGUUAUGGCGUUCGUGGCAAAUUAUGUACUUGCCACGACAUCGCGAUCGCGUGGCAAGUACACUAUACGCAACAAAACUGUAACGUAGCAAAACUAUCAUAUUGCUACGCUAAUAAUCAUUGCAUGUACGACCUGUUGCUACCAUGAAACCCAUGGCAAGUGCUCCAAUUGCCACGCCCGUGAACGUUGCGUCAAAAUCCUAUUGCCAUGCUUGGCAACGAAAUUGUAAUGUCGCAAAACUAUCAUAUUGCUACGCUAAUGAUCGCUGCAUGUAAGACCUGUUGCUACCACGAAACCCAUGGCAAGUGCUCCAAUUGCCACGCCCGUGAACGUUGCGUCAAAAUCCUAUUGCCAUGCUUGGCAACGGAUUGCAAUGGUUGCAACAAUUCUAUGCACUUGCAACGUCAAACUAGAUAUUGUGGCAAUACCUUAUUGCCACGUGACAUCUUGCAACCCUUGGCAACUUACGAGAUUUCGUGGCCCAAACUACUGCUUGCAACAAAAUUGGGCAUAUCGCAACGGUUUUUGGUCAUUGCAUAAGAGGUAGAAUUUAGUAGUGAAGGGGCAAGUGCCCGGAACCUCGAAAGAAAAGAAAAAGUGAGACGAGAGGUAAAAAUGGACAAGUGUCCGACAGUAGAAUUAGGGGUACAAGAUACCCACCUGAGAGAAAAGAAAAAGAAACAUAGAGCAUCUCAUUCUCCUCAAAAGUUUCAAAAGAGCAGGAAAGGUAUGUAUCCCCUCAAAAGAGCACCAGUAGAAUUAGACUUUCACCAUUGUUAUCACCAUCAUCACCAUACACCAUUCAUUCGCCACACAUGCACAUCUUGAUUUGACUUAUUGACUUGUUUCUCUGGAUCCAUGGUUUGACUAUACAAUAAAUGUCUUGUAAGUAUAUAUACUUUAUCUCCCACCUAUGAGCUCUAGAUAUCAAAAGCCUUAUUAGAGUAGGAUGUGAGAGAAGGCAAUGUCACUAUGCCUUAUACUGCAAAUACUACAUACUUUGAGAGAAGGCAUACACCAUUACUGCCUUGGUAAGGAUCCAGAAACACCACAAAAGAGAGAUCUGAGAGAGUAAUACAAGGAAUCUCUGAGUUUUAUUUGAAAAUCUACAAAAGCUCCAGAGCUAUAGCUGAUCAAGAAUAAGAGACAUGGCGCUUGACUAGACCGUUCUAACUUUUAACUGCUCAAGACAGAAGUGAUGGAUACAAGUCCCGUGGUAAAAGGUAAAAUGAAUAAGUUUUAAGUCUUGACAGUUUACUCUAACUCAGAGAUGAGACCUUAUUUGAAAGCAUGUGCACCGUCAACUUUUAAAGGCAUUACAACAACUUCUGAUCCAUCACUGAGAUUAUGCUUGCUCAGGGACGAGCAAGAGGUAAGCUUGGGGGAGUUUGUUGACGGUCCUUAAGUAUCAAAUAUAAUCAACAAAUAAACAAAGAAAAGGAUCCAAAUGCAACCGACAUCCAGACAUAGGGUUUUAUCUCACAGAAUUCCACGAGUUUUGGUGUUUGUCUAUUUCUGCAGGGGGUUAUCUGGAAUUAUGGAAGAAAGACCCACAUGUCAGGUUUACAUAGAGAUAUUAACAUGCCGCGCAAUUAUCUAACAUCUAGAAGAGUCCAGAAGCCACAGGAAUGAACGGGAGGCCGAUCGGGGCCGAUAGCAGGGUGCCCGCCCUCCCUCCUUGGGCGCCCGCCCUGGUCUGAGGGCCAAUCAGCUUCAACCUCGCGGAUCAUGCUCCACCGACCUAAGGGAUCAAGAAAAACCAUGCGAUUAAUGUCAGUUUGAUCCGACGACCCACAUUCAUUUGGAAGGACUAUAUAAGCAGACCCCCUGGCACAUGGAGGAGAGGACCUCUGAACCCUAUUUCAUUAUCCAUCUCGGGAGAAGAAGCCUCUGAUCAAGCCCUAGAGCCACCACAUCAAUAGAUCUCUAGUUUAGCAUAGCUACAUAGGAUUAGAACUAGAAGGAGUCAAUCUUCGAUUGGUUUCCAGAUCUGUCAAGAGGAUUCUUGGUAAUUCCUCUACUGUUCUUCAAUUGUUCAUCAUUGUUCUUCAAUAUUGUGGAUAUGACUUUGUUCUACUUCAACAUAUUGAUUAUGACUUUGCUCUACUUGUUUAUAUUUGCAAUUAUAUUGUUCUUAGUUUAUCAUAGUUCUAUGCUUGGCUUAGUUAGAUUGGAAUUAUAUACAUGUUUAGGAUCGUAUAGCGUUUAUCUAUGUGUACAGUGGGUAAAUGAUAAGUAUUAUGUAGGCGUGGUGCCUAUACCGUAUUUAUCUGCGAUUGUACCCUAUAUGCCAUAUCGUGGGGUACUUCAUGGUAGUGACAGCUCCAUCGAUUCUUAUAUAGUUCCCCUCUCGUGUAUAGGGCUGGCAGAGCAACAUUAUUACAGGGUUGUGAUUGCUAUGUUUCUCAUCUUCCUUGAUAAUAUCACUAUGCAUGGGCGCAGUCCUGUCUUGCAAUGAUUGCCAAGUAUAAUUGCACUAACUAUGAUAUGCUAGACUUUAUAGUUAAGAAUAACUUAGGAAAUAUUCUUGUAGUUCAUCCUAAUUCAAUGCUAAUGACUUGCUACAAUAUCUAUUGAGGUGCUUAUCAUAUUUAUAUGUGGCUAAGUUAUGCUGAUCAGAUUAAUUAUCUUUGUCACCAUUCAUACUUUAUCUAUCUUUUAUGUGACAUUUAUCCCUGUAUGAAAGAGAUAGAUAAAUGCUCUCAAUUAUACAUGUAAUGAUAGAUACUCAAUUCUAUAUUCCAUUCCAUAAUCAACAGUGAUGUUUAGCAAUCCCUUCCCAGUGGUAAAAAUAUAAAUAACGAUACCUGGAAUACAUCCCGGUUAAAAUGCUACAUCGGUAUUAAUCUGUAUGCUUGCAGAUCUCAUUUAUUAUUUAUUUAGAAGAGCAAUUGAAUAUUUCAAUACCGCGUCUCUCAUGUCAUGUUGGGGAUGACAACUUGGCUUAAGUGGCAUGAGGGAUAGGUUUGGCAUUUUUGGUGCCGUUAUCAGAAUUAGAAAACUAAGUCUACUUUUGGUAGUGACGUUAAGAAUGCCCAACAACGCUCUAGACAUGCUUUACUUAUUGAACAUCACGCUUUUGUGUCUCUUGAAAAUGAACCAAAGACUAUAGAGGAAGCUCUUCAUGAUGCGGAUUGGAUCAUUGCCAUGCAAGAGGAGUUGAACAACUUCUCUCGCAACCAAGUGUGGACACUUGAAGAGCGACCCAAAGAUGCAAGAGUGAUUGGAACCAAGUGGGUCUUCCGAAACAAGAAGGAUGAUCAAGGCAAAGUGGUGCACAACAAGGCAAGGCUCGUGGCAAAAGGCUUUUCACAAGUGGAAGGUCUUGACUUCGGUGAAACCUUUACACCGGUGGCAAGACUUGAAGCAAUCCGUAUCCUACUUGCAUAUGCAUCUAGUCAUGAUAUCAAGUUGUUUCAAAUGGAUGUGAAAAGUGCUUUUUUGAAUGGUUAUAUUAAUGAGCUUGUCUAUGUUGAGCAACCCCCCGGUUUUAAAGACCCUAGGUACCCCAAGCAUGUCUACCGGUUGUCCAAGGCUCUCUAUGGUCUCAAGCAAGCUCCUAGAGCUUGGUAUGAGAGGCUUAGGGACUUCCUCAUUGAGAAGGGCUUCAAGAUUGGGAAAGUUGACAUAACACUCUUCACCAAGAAAAUGAAUGGGGAAAUCUUCAUUUGCCAAGUUUAUGUUGAUGAUAUUAUUUUUGGCUCAACUAAUGAAGAUUUUUGCAAGGAAUUUGGUGAUUUGAUGUCCAAGGAGUUUGAGAUGUCCAUGAUUGGCGAGCUAUCCUUCUUCCUAGGAUUUCAAGUUAGGCAAAUGAAGGAAGGGGUCUUCAUCUCUCAAGAGAAGUACACACAAGAUCUUCUCAAGAGGUUCAAGAUGAUGGAUUGCAAGCCAAUCAAGACUCCCAUGGCAUCAAAUGGGCAUCUCGACUUGGAUGAGGGAGGUAACCCAAUUGACAAGACUCUCUAUCGUUCCAUGAUUGGAAGUCUACUCUACCUCAUCGCAUCUAGGCCUGAUAUCAUGUUUAGUGUGUGUAUGUGUGCUAGGUAUCAAGCAUUGCCUAUGGAAUCUCACUUGAUUGCCGUCAAGAGAAUUCUUAGGUACCUAAAAUACACACUUGCCUUGGCUUGUGGUAUCCCAAAGGUGCAAGAUUCCAACUUGUAGGCUAUUUCGAUUCGGAUUAUGCCGGGUGCUGGAUUGAUAGAAAAAGCACAUCCGGAGGGUGCCAUUUCCUAGGUAGAUCUCUUGUCUCUUGGAUGUCAAAGAAACAAAACAGUGUUGCCUUGUCAACGGCCGAGGCGGAAUACAUUGCCGCCGGUGCUUGUUGUGCACAAAUACUCUACAUGAAACAAACUUUCCUAGACUAUGGAGUAGUACUAGACAAAGUACCUUUGUUGCGUGACAACGAAAGUGCCGUAAAACUUGCUAACAACCCGGUUCAACACACCCGCACAAAACACAUUGACAUCCGCCACCACUUCCUUAGGGAUCAUGUUGCUAAAGGUGAUAUAUCUGUAGAGAAUGUGGGUACGGAAAAUCAAUUGGCGGAUAUCUUCACAAACCCCUAGAUGAAGCUAGGUUUUGUUUGUUGAGAAAUAGACUUAAUGUGCUUGAUCUUUCUAACUUCAUAAAAAAAUGAAGUUGUGUGUUGACUUUGUAAAUAGCUUUUGUUUUGCAUGUCAUGCAUACCAAAACUAAAAUACAAAAAGAAUUGUGUGUAGGGUUUGUGUAACAUGGUUAAGAUAACCCCCUUGUGUGUGUGAAAAAGCUUAACCUUGGAUCAAACUUCACAAGCAUUAGUUUACUUUCAAGUAUUGCAUUUCACCUCAUAUCAUAUGCAUGCUUGUGAGUUGGCCGUUUAUUUUUGGUUAUGUCUUGAGCAUCCGUUGUGUUCGUCCAUAGAUAGGGGGAGCAUUCAAAGCUCAUUAUGAUUUAAACCCCUAGCUUUAUGGCCACACGAUGCUCCUUGGUGCUUUCACUUGACUAUUUUCAUAAAAACUACUAUGCCUAAGGCUAAAUAUUUGUGAAAACUUGAGGGUUUGAGAGAGGUCACUCAUACCAGUUCCAAUUGGUGCUUAUUUGAGUCUUCUUAAAGUUGGAAUUUGGUUGGGUAAAAGUCGGAUGAAGUUUGAAGUUGAAAAAGGACUCAGAGGUGCACUAGACGAUGCACCAGACUCUCCUGCAGAGCGUCCGGUGCAGUGAGUCUGCUCGACAAUACUCACCGGACCAAGGAACAGUAUCCCUGCAGCGUCCGGUGAGAUGCGUCCGGUGCUCAGCCAGGCAUGCCUGAGGGCACUGGACGCUAAAGCCAGCGUCCGGUGGCCAUCGUCCAGAGCUCGGCUGAAUGAAAACACUCUCUAUGUUUUAGUCCGGUGCCACAUAAUGAGCGUCCGGUGACCCCGCAGCGGGCGCAUAUAACCUGUGCUCAGGGGCUUUUCGCACAGACGGUUUCUUCUCCCCGCGAACAGACCAGCUGUGCCCGAGCCCUAGACCGAGCCACCGAUCCGCCGCCACCAUUUUCUUCGAGUUUUUCCCCGGUGAAAUCCCAUCUUCCCCGCGUAGACCCAAACAGUUUCCUCUUCCCUCUCCUCACGCAAGGAUCCCUUCCUUGCGAGGUGUUUAGGGUUUGGGGUAAGUUCUUUGAUCUGCGCCCUCAAGGUGUUUGAUUUAAUGUGUGAAUGAAUUAAAUUGNNNNNNNNNNNNNNNNNNNNNNNNNNNNNNNNNNNNNNNNNNNNNNNNNNNNNNNNNNNNNNNNNNNNNNNNNNNNNNNNNNNNNNNNNNNNNNNNNNNNGAAAGGCCCACACGUCGGGAUACCAUAGAGAUAUUAACGUCCCACACAAUUAUCUUACAUCUAGAAGACUCCAGAAGCCACGAGACCGAAACGGAGGCGAAACGGGGCCAGAGGCAGGGCGCCCGCCCUCCUGCCCUAGGCGCCUGCCCUCCUGCCCUAGGCGCCCGCCCCCUCUGAGAGUCCAAUCAGGAAUCUGCUUCGUGGGAGAUCUCCACGGACCUAAAGGAUCAAGGAUAACCGUUCAAUCUAAGUCGGUUUGAUCCAACGGUCCAUAUUCACUUGAAGGGACUAUAAAACCAGACCCCCUGGCCCCUGGAGGAGAGAGCCUCUCAACCCUAAUUCAUUGUUCCUCAAGGGAGAAGAAGCCUCUGAUCAAGAUUAGAGCCACCACAUCAAUUAGAUAUCUAGAUUAGCAUAGCUAGAUAGGAUUAGAACUAGAAGGAGUCAAUCUUCGAUUGGUUUCCGGAUCUGUCAGGAGGAUUCUUGGUAAUUCUCUAAUUGUGCUUCUAAUUGCUUUCUAGUUAUCUUUGUUCUUCAAUAUUAUGAAUAUGACUUUGUUCUAUUUCAAUAUAUUGCUUAUGACUUUGCUCUACUUGCUUAUAUUCAAGAUUAUAUUGUUCUUAGUUUAUCAUAGUUAUGUACUUGGCUUAGUUAGAUUGGAUCUAUAUACAUGCUUAGGAUCGUAUAGCGUUUAUCCAUCGGAUCCAUGGGUAAAUGAUAGAUAUUGUGUAGGCGUGGUGCUUAUACCGUAUUUAUCUGCGAUUGUACCCAAUAUGCCAGAUCGUGGGGUAGUUCGUGAUAGUGACAGCUUCAUUGAUUCUUAUAUAGUCCCCCUCUCGUGUAUUGGGCUGGUAGAGCAACAUUAUUACAGGAGAGUGAUUGCUAUGUUUCUAAUUUACCUUGCUAAUAUCACUAUGCAUGGGCGUAGUCUUGUCUCGCAAUGAUUGCUAUGUAUGCUUGCACUAAUUAUGAUAAUGCUAGACUAUAUAGUUGAGAAUAACUUAGGAAAUAUUCUUGUAGUUCGUUCUAAUACCAUGCUAAUGACUUUCUAGAGUAUCUAAUUGAGGUGCUUAUCAUAUUUAUUAUGUGGCUAGAUCAGAUUAAUUAUCUUUGUCACUAUUCAUUAUUUCAUAUAUCUUUUAUGUGACAUUUAUCCCUGUAUGAAAGAGUUAGAUAAAUGUUCUCAAUUAUACAUGCAAUGAUAGAUACUCAAUCUCAUAUUCUAUUCUGUAAUCAAUAUUGAUGAUUGCUAAUCCCUUCCUAGUGGUAAAAAUAUAAAUAACGAUACCUGGAAUACUUCCCGGUUAAAAUGCUACAUCGGUAUUAAUCUGUGCGCUUACAGAUCCCAUUCAUUAUUUCUUUAGAAGAGCAAUUGCAUAUUUCAAUACCGCGUCUCUUAUAUCAUGCUGGGGAUGACAACUUGGCUUAAGUGGUGUGAGGGAUAGGUUUGGCAUUUUUGGCACCGUUACUAGAUUUAGAGAACUUAGUCUACUUUUGGUAAUGAUGUUAAGAAUACCCAACACGGCCAUUAUGUUGACGCCCGAUCCAGUGUCGCAAAACGUCUUGUAGAAGUUGUAUCCAUUUAUGGAGCAGUAGAUGCUUGGCAUUCCUGGGUCGUCCUUCUUGGUCAAAAAUGGUGACUUAAGUUGGUGAUCUUGUUCUCCAUGAACUACAGUGACCAUCUUAGCUGACUCGGUCCACACUUGCUUGUUCCUAUUCCUCUGGUUGGUCCUCUUCCUUGAUUCACAUCUGGAUUGAUCUGGGAUUUGUGUAGUCUUGUUCUUGAAGAAAAAUGUUUCCUUCCUCCCUUUGAUGUAGAAACUGAUCUUGGCAGCUCUAGCGUAGAUGAUAGCUCCCGAGCUGUUCAAGAAUGGCCUCCCUAGGAUGAUAGGUGCUCUCUCAUCAUUUCCGGUCUCUACCACUACGAAGUCUGCUGGGGCAUACAAGGUACCAACUCGGACACAAAGGUUCUUCACUAUUCCUUUUGGAAAACUUAUCGUCUGAUCUGCAAACUGCAAACACAUGGUUGUCUCUAAUAAAGGAUAUGUAAAGAAUUUCUCAUAGAGUACCCUGGGUAUAAUGUUGACGCUGGAGCCAAAGUCGCAGAGUGCUUCUGGGACGUCCACCAUGCCGAUGGAGAUCGAGAUGACAGGGCAUCCUGGAUCGCCUAUCUUGACCGGCAGAAGGUCAAUAGUGAAUUCUGUGAUGGGGUUACUCCAAUUACCUGCAUCAAACAUGUCUACAAGAUUUGCAGAUUCUAAUCCUUCCGGUUGUGAUGGUAUACCGGAAGAGCAAUUGCAGAUUCUAAUGAAUUAGGGUAGAGAGGCUCUCUCCUCCAGGGGCCAGGAGGUCUGGUUUUAUAGACCCUUCAAGUGAAUAUGGGCCAUUGGAUCAAACCGACAUUGAUUGAACGGUUAUCCUUGAUCCUUUAGGUCGGUGGAGAUCUCCCACGAAGCAGAGUCCUGAUUAGACUCUCAGAGGGGGCGGGCGCCCAGGGCAGGAGGGCGGGCGCCCUGCCUCUGGCCCCGUUUCGCCUCCGCUUCGGUCUCGUCUCUUUUGGAGUCUUCUAGAUGUAAGAUAAUUGUGUGGCACGUUAAUAUCUCUAUGUAAUCCCGACGUGUGGGCCUUUCUUCCGUAUUUCCUGAUAACCCCCUGCAGAAAUAGACAAACACCAAAACUCGUGGAAUUCUGUCAAAUAAAACCCUAAGUCUAGAUGUUGAUUUCAUUUGGAUCCUUUUCUUUAUUUAUUUGAUAAUUAAAUUUGAUACUUAAGGACCGUCAACAAAUUCCCCCAAGCUUACCUCUUGCUCAUCCCUGAGCAAGGAUAGACUCAGCUAUGGAUCAUAAGUUGUUGCAAUAUCUUUAAAAAUUGACGGUACCCAUGCUUUUUUAAAUAAGAUCUCAUCUCUGAGUUAGAGUAAACUGUCAAGACUUAAAACUUACUUACUUUACCUUCACCAUGGGACUUGUAACCGUCACUUCUAUCUUGAGUAGUUAAAAGAUAGAACAGUCUAGUCAAGUGCCAUGUCUCUUAUUCUUGAUCAGCUAUAGCUCUAGAGUUUUUGCAGAUUUUCAAAUAAAACUCAGAGAUUCCUUGUAUGACUCUCUCAAAUCUCUCUUUUGUGGUAUUUCUAGAUCCUUACCAAGGCAGUGAUGGUAUAUGCCUUCUCUCAAAAUAUGUAGUAUUUGUGGUAUGAAGCAUAGUGACAUUGCCUCCUCUCUCACCCUACUUUAAUAAGGCUUGAUAUCUGGAGCUCAUAGAUGGGAGAUAAAAUAUACAUACUUACAAGACAUUUAUUGUAUAGUCAAACCAUGGAUCCAAAGAAACAAAUCAAUAAGUCAAAUCAAGAUGUGCAUGUGUGGCGAAUGAAUGGUGUAUGGUGGUAAUGGUGAUAAUAAUGGUGGAAGUCUAAUUCUACUUUUGCUCUUUUGAGGGGAUAUAUACCUUUCUUGCUUUUUGAAACUUUAUGAGAAGAAUGAGAUGCUCUUCUUUUUUUCUUUUCUCUCAGGUGGGUAUCUUGUACCUCUAAUUCUACUGUCGGACGCUUGUCCAUUUUUACCUCUCGUAUCACUUUUUCUUUUCUUCGAGGUUCCGGGCACUUGCCCCCUUUUUAUUUCCUCGUAUCUCUUUUUUUAGAGCACUCAUCUCUUGAGAUAAUAUAGCAAGUGGUAGUAAAAAGAUAACUUGAGCAUUUAUUUCACAAGGGAAAACAGAAAUGUUUUUGGUCAUUCUCUCCCGGAUUAGGAGUAGAAUAUUUUUGGGUGAUUCUGGAGAUGGAAAUGGGUGGAUAUAUGUGGAUGGUACUUCCGGAGUAGAAGUAGCAUAUAUGAGUGAACGUGCAAGUCAAUCUUGAUUUAACCACAUGAUAAGCUCCUAAGGGUCUACACAGCUUGUCCACACUCAAUGCUCAUAAGCAGUAAAUAAUAAAUGUGUGGCUCAAAGUCUAGCAAGCAUGUAUAUAUGGCUGUGGUAGGAAUUUAAACUCUCAUCAUACAGGAACUCAUCAUGCAAUAUUUUAAAGAUUUUCAAAGAUAAAAUUCUCCAGAAUUCUAGCAUCUCUAGGAACAGAUAAACAGCAGCUCAACCUUCCCAUAUCGUAUCCGUUAACAACUUAGAUUUCAGAUCAAGUUUUCAUCCCACACGUUUAGGUCUAGAGCAAGCUUUAAAUCAUAACAGUUAUAUCUAAACUUGAGAGAGAACUUAAAAUGUGCAAAUUAGGCAGAGCAACUAUUCAUCAUAUCCAUGCUUGAGUUUUAUUUAGAUACAGAUUAGCAUAGCCACUUUAUUUAUUUAUUAAACACACUAAGCAAAAGAUAUAUAUAUAAGCAUAAAAUCUUUAUUUGGUUUUUCAUAGUUAUGUAUAUUUAAAUUCUAAAAUAAUAUAAGUAUAAAGAUAGAUAGAUAGAUAGAAAUACUUAUCGAGAUAAAUGGGGGUGCUCUCCUCCAAGCUGAAUUUUGACGUAAUUUCUCCUGAUGUAGCUAGCAGGUGGCAGAAGUGUAUUUGAAAGUCAGCAGCAUUCUGAUAGCGAUUAGAAUGUCCUCCGUCUACUAGUCUUCUUGAUUCUUAAAUUCUGUGGAGCUCAAAUAGACAACAAAGCUUGUGGAACUGAUUAAGUGUUAGCAUAAAUAUAUAGCCUUUAUCAUGUUAAGACUCCUUAAUAAUUAUUACUCCCUAUUUUUAUAUUUUUGUUUUAUAAAGCAGAAAAGAAAUUUUUAUUUUAUUUUUAUGCCACCACAGUGAGUGUACUUAUGGAUUUUAUGCCACUCGUAUACUCACAUGGGGCUUACUGUUUUGCAUAUUUUUAUUUUAUUUUUAAGAUAGUAUGAACAUAAUUAACUAAGUAAACUAGUUGAAAUAAUUGAAAGAGAAAGGAUAACUACCAAGUUUACCUCUUGGCAAGGCGUUCGGUGUUUUUAAGUCCUCCGAACAGGACUCUCCUCUUUCUCAAUUGUCCUAGGAUUCGUUGGGUGGCGGAGUCGGUACUUUCGGCGGCGCCUCCUCUUCAUGUAUAGUUAUCUUCUCUUUCCAUACCUGACUCAGUGCUUCAGUCUCCUCUAGAUAAUUCUCUUUAAACUCUACGUCUUCUGACCUUAUCACUUCUCCUUCAUAGUCUGCCCAUCCGUCCUUGAUGAUUUGCCUCCUCUGGUUGCGGUUGCGUCGUUUCCUGACCUGCUUAGAUUCUUCAACGAUAUAGUCAGGGUCAGUAAAAUAACGACGUACCAUCUCUGAGGGGAAGUGCAUAUGGACUUCUCCGGUUCCAAUGUAGAUAAUUGCUUUAACGGUGCUGAGGAAUGGUCUUCCAAGGAUGAUGGGUGGAUCGUAUUCGUCUUCUCCCAUGUCAAUAACUUGAAAGUCUGUGUAGACAAAAUGAUCGUCUAUUUUGACUGGGACAUCAGUUACUGUUCCUUUAACUUCUCAAAAUGUCUGAUCUACCAUCUGGAGCUGAAUGUAUGUUGGUUUCAGGGGCAUGGUUCCCAACAAGAGCCGAUAGGUGACUGCGGCCAUUAUGUUGACGCCCGAUCCGGUGUCGCAAGUUGUCUUGUAGAAGUUGUAUCCAUUUAUGGAGCAAUAGAUGCUUGGCAUUCCUGGGUCGUCCUUCUUGGUCAAAAACGGUGACUUAAGUUGGUGAUCUUGGCCUCCAUGAACUACAGUGACCAUCUUAGCUGACUCGGUCCAUACUUGCUUGUUCCUAUUCCUCCUGUUGGUCCUCUUCCUUGAUUCACGUUUGGAUUGAUCUGGAAUUUGUGUAGUCUUGUUCUUGAAGAAAAAUGUUUCCUUCCUCCCUUUGAUGUAGAAAGUGAUCUUGGCAGCACUAGCGUAGAUGAUAGCUCUCAUGGUGUUCAAGAAUGGCCUCCCUAAGAUGAUGGUUGCUCUCUCAUCGUUACCGGUCUCUACCACUAUGAAGUCUGCUGGGGCAUACAAGGUACCAACUCGGAUGCAAAGGUUCUUCACUAUUCCUUUUGGAAAAGUUAUCGUCUAAUCUGCAAACUUCAAACACAUGGUUGUCUCUAAUAAAGGUACCCUGGGUAUAAUAUUGACACUAGAGCCAAAGUCACAUAGUGCUUCUGGGAUGUCCACCAUGCCGAUGGAGAUUGGGAUGACGGGGCGUCCUGGAUCACCUCUCUUGACCGGCAGAAGGUCAGUAGAGAAUUCAGUGACGGGGUUACUCCAAUUACCUGCAUCAAACAUGUCUACAAGAUUUGCAUAUUCUAAUCCUUCCGGUUGUGAUGGUAUACCGGGGUUAGUAGUAGGAACAGCAGCAACUAUUUGAUUUAACUGAGAUUCAAUCAUUUUAUUAAAGCUAAUUUGAUUCUUGAUGGCAGUAGAGAAAUUAUCCAUUCUAUUAUUUAUAUUUUCUAGCAUUUUAUCAUUAGAUGCCAAUUUCUUAAAUAGGUUAUCCAUUAGAUUUUCUUGAUUAGACACUAACUCUCUCAAAGGUGGAAAAUUAUUACUAUUGUUGUAAGAAAUGUUACCUUGAUAAUUACUUGAGUAGUUAGGCCUCUGUUGAUUCCAACCUUGAUUUUGUUGAGGACGGUUGUAGUAGUAGUAGUAGUAGUUGUUGUUGUUGAUGUAGUUCACAUCCUCAAGCAUCUCAGGGCAGUGAUUGCCUGAGUGUCCAGUAUCUCCACACUCCUCGCAAGUCAUGUGAGAGUCGUAGAUGUGCAUAACUUCUUUCUUGUCUCCAGCUCUAUCAUCGAGCUUCUUCAUGAGCAGGUCUAGCUUUGCAGACAACAUGUCUACCUCCUUCAGCUGAUGCAUACCUCCACCUCUCUUGCGUGUCUGGGUCCUCUCUUCAUUCCAGCUUUGAUUGGACGCCAUCUUCUCCACAAGAGCUGUGGCUUGUGAUAUAGUAAGUGAUAAGAAUGCUCCUCCAGCUGCAGCAUCCAUGGUCUCUCGGGCACUGUUGCCGAGCCCAUGAUAAAAUGUCUGCAUCAGUAGCCAACUCUCCAUUCCAUGAUGGGGACAUUGUAGGAUGUAGUCUUGAAAGCGCUCCCAUGCUUCUGGAAUAGAUUCAUCAUUUUGUUGCUGAAAACUUGUAAUCUUCCCACGGAGAGCAUUGGUCUUGCCCAUGGGAAAGAACUUAGCCAGGAAGUUUGUUGAGCAGAGUGCCCACGUAGUAUUCUUCUCCUUUGUAGCGUAGAACCAUUGCUUCGCUCUCCCUAACAGUGAGAAUGGGAAGAGGCGAAGUAGUAUAGCAUCUUUGGAAACUCCUGCUAUGGUGAAUGUGUUGCAAAUCUCCAGGAAGUGUUGUAGAUGAGCACUAGCAUAUUCGUGUGCCUUCCCACAGAACUGGUUGGAUUGCGCCAUGUUGAUAAGUCCAGGCUUGAGCUCAAAGUUGUCGUCGAUCUCUGCAGCAGGUCCAGUGCGGAUGUUGUCCGUAGUGGGAGCUGAGAAUUCACGGAUUGAUUUGUUCGCCAUGGCCUCGAACUCUGAAGACAAGUUCCAGUGAUCUUCUUGAUUGGAUGAAGCUUCUUGCUUAAGUGUUGAUGAUCUCUUCUUGAGCUUGGCUCUCGUCUUCUUGAAUAAUGCUUCAGGAUUGUCAACAAAAUUUCUUGGAAGAUGUCUUCUAUUCAUACAUUCCCCUGCAUAAGAUAAAAUAGAAAAAUAUCGGGGUAAAACUGUAUGAGAGAAUAGAUAAGCUCAAUCAUCUUAGUGAUGCGAAUGAUAACUCAAAAUCCUUUAUUCCAUUCUUGAUUAGUAAUCAACCUUCCCCGGCAACGGCGCCAAAAAUGCUUGUUGGGUAUUCUUAACAUCAUUGCCAAAAGUAGACUAAGUUCUCUAAAUCUAGUAACGGUGCCAAAAAUGCCAAACCUAUCCCUCACACCACUUAAGCCAAGUUGUCAUCCCCAGCAUGAUAUAAGAGACGCGGUAUUGAAAUAUGCAAUUGCUCUUCUAAAUAAAUAAUGAAUGGGAUCUGCAAGCGCACAGAUUAAUACCAAUGUAGCAUUUUAACCGGGAAGUAUUCCAGGUAUCGUUAUUUAAAUUUUUACCACUGGGAAGGGAUUAGCAAUCAUCAAUAUUGAUUACAGAAUAGAAUAUGAGAUUGAGUAUCUAUCAUUGCAUGUAUAAUUGAGAACAUUUAUCUAACUCUUUCAUAUAGGGAUAAAUGUCACAUAAAAGAUAUAUGAAAUAAUGAAUAGUGACAAAGAUAAUGAAUCUGAUCUAGCCACAUAAUAAAUAUGAUAAGCACCUCAAUUAGAUACUCUAGAAAGUCAUUAGCAUGGUAUUAGAAUGAACUACAAGAAUAUUUCCUAAGUUAUUCUCAACUAUAUAGUCUAGCAUUAUCAUAAUUAGUGCAAGCAUACUUAGCAAUCAUUGCGAGACAAGACUACGCCCAUGCAUAGUGAUAUUAGCAAGGUAAAUGAGAAACAUAGCAAUCACUCCCCUGUAAUAAUAUUGCUCUGCCAGCCCAAUACACGAGAGGGGGACUAUAUAGUUUGUUGACGGUCCUUAAGGCAAGAGAUAAGCUUGGAGGAUUCUUGGUAAUUCUCUAAUUGUGCUUCUAAUUGCUUUCUAAUUAUCUUUGUUCUUCAAUAUUAUGAAUAUGACUUUGUUUUAUUUUAAUAUAUUGCUUAUGACUUUGCUCUACUUUCUUAUAUUCAAGAUUAUAUUGUUCUUAGUUUAUCAUAGUUAUGUACUUGGCUUAGUUAGAUUGGAUCUAUAUACAUGCUUAGGAUCGUAUAGCGUUUAUACAUCGGAUCCAUGGGUAAAUGAUAGAUAUUGUGUAUGCGUGGUGCUUAAACCGUAUUUAUCUGUGAUUGUACCCAAUAUGCCAGAUCGUGGGGUAGUUCGUGAUAGUGACAGCUUCAUUGAUUCUUAUAUAGUCCCCCUCUCGUGUAUUGGGCUGGCAGAGCAAUAUUAUUACAGGGGAGUGAUUGCUAUGUUUCUCAUUUACCUUGCUAAUAUCACUAUGCAUGGGCGGAGUCUUGUCUCACAAUGAUUGCUAAGUAUGCUUGCACUAACUAUGAUAAUGCUAGACUAUAUAGUUGAGGAUAACUUAGGAAAUAUUCUUGUAGUUCGUUCUAAUUCUAUGCUAAUGACUUUCUAGAGUAUCUAAUUGAGGUGCUUAUCAUAUUUAUUAUGUGGCUAGAUCAGACUAAUUAUCUUUGUCACUAUUAUUAUUUCAUAUAUCUUUUAUGUGACACUUAUCCCUGUAUGAAGAGUUAGAUAAAUGUUAUCAAUUAUACAUACAAUGAUAGAUACUCAAUCUCAUAUUCUAUUCUGUAAUCAAUAUUGAUGAUUGUUAAUCCCUUCCCAGUGGUAAAAAUAUAAAUAACGAUACCUGGAAUACUUCCCGGUUAAAAUGCUACAUCGGUAUUAUUUAUUUAGAAGAGCAAUUGCAUAUUUCAAUACCGCAUCUCUCAUGUCAUGCUGGGGAUGACAACUUGGCUUAAGUGGUGUGAGGGAUGGUUUGGCAUUUUUGGCACCGUUACUAGAUUUAGAGAACUUAGUCUACUUUUGGUAAUGAUGUUAAGAAUACCCAACAUAUGUAUCCCCUAUCUUUUCCAUCUCUUGCAGCGCGUUGAUCCCUCUUGGCAGUUUGUCAGUUGCUCAGUUGUUGGCAGUCGUUCAGAGGCAGUUUUCUUGCAAUGGCACGUUGCAAGAAUGUCAGUGGUCCGGUAGCCAGCUCAGGGGGUUCUCCAGGAGGUGAUAGUGGAAGUGAUCCUUCCCGUCGCCUGUCAGCGGCAGAAAAGGGAAAAGGCAAGAAGCUGGCCACCAAGAAGAGGAAGGCCAGUGACAGAGAGGCAGACGUGGCCGAGGCAGUUGCAGCAGCAGCUGAGGCAGCAGAGAGGGGUGGACGCUUAGGUGCCCUGAGGAUUGGGGCCGAUCCCACACCACGGCACAGGCGUGCAGUUCUUGAGGCUUAGGCACUUCAAGGGUCUCCUCCUGGCACCAUCAUGCUAGGAGGUCAGUGUGUCAGGAUUGCAAUCAGAGAGCCAGCUCAGGAGGACCCGGAGACUGAGACAGAGGUAGAGGCCCAGGCGGAUGGCCUGAUGGAGGGACAGCAGAAGGAGCUGCCCCUUAGGAGGUUGACUCGCACGCGUACUCAGGCCAUUCCUAGGACUGGUACGUAGGGUCAGUCCACUUCCACUGCUCGCUCCACUCCAGCACGUGGCACCCCAGCUCCACGUCCAGUGCUAGUGAGGAUACAUAAGGAUUACACCCAGGUCUCCGCUUGAGAGAUCUAGGAGCUGCGGUUCGUUCCUUUUCCGACUUGGUUUCUAGCUUCCAGUGAUCCGAGAGCCAGUGACAGAUUCUAUACAGUGGUUCAAGAGGAUCUGUACGAGGCUUUUUGUCCGUUCAGCGACUCAGUUCAGGGAGCACAGGGUGCUUGACCUUGAGGUGCUUGGGAACAUGGUCGGUGUGGACAUCAGGCAGUAUUUCACUUACCUGACCGGUCUCCCAGAGUUACUUGCUUUACCUGGCACCUAUUGUGAGGAGUGGGUCCGAGAGUUCUAUGCCUCAGUGUGGGUUUCACCAAACCAUAGCUACAUCCACUACGCACUGGCAGGCACUGACUACAGGGUGACAGCUUAGAGGGCCAGUGAGGUUCUUGGAUUGAGAGCCUAUUCCACUCGGAUCCAUGAGCUUUGCUAUGGGAACUUCGAGCCUCCUCGAUGUCCUCACGGUGGUGCUCUACCAUUGGUUGACUUUGUGGCUCCUUGUUUCCGUCAGCCCUUUGGAGAGGGCUCCAGCAGGACAGUUGGAGAUUUGACACGCCCAGCCAGGAUCCUUGACUUCAUGUUGAGGAGGACUCUCUUUCCCAGGUCCGGCUACAAAGACGGCUUCACCAGGAUUCAGCAGUGGUUGGUAGCUCACCUGAUCUCAAAGACAUCAUUUGAUUUGUGGGAUUUGAUAGUGUUAGAGAUUGAGGAUACUAUCUCAGAGAGCUUUAGGGGUCGGCGUCAGUUGCCGUACGCACAUUGGAUCACACUGCUCAUACUUCGUGCUAGGCCCGAGCCUCUUCCAGCUCACCUCCAGAGAGAGCUAUCAGAUGCUGGCACCGUGUUUCCCCACUACGACCCCUGAUAGAUGCUGAGGGCACACUACAACCUUAGAGCUCCGCCACCUCCUCCAGCACCACGUGGCCAGGUGCCACCACCUUCUCCUAGGGGCACUAGCAGUUCAGGGGCAGUCCCAGAGACUGAGGAGGAGCAGGAUAUCGCCAUUGGGGCGUUUUCAGACGCUGAGGCCGAGGUGGAGUUUGACUUCGCUUCAGACAGCUCAGACAUUGAUUAUCAUCUCCCAGUGCCAGACCUUCCUCUGAGGCCGCACGACCACGAGGCAGGAGGUUCCUCGAGUGCCUCAGACCCCGCCCUGCUUGCUAUUCUAGAGGGGAUGAGAGCCGAUCAGAGGAGGGUAGCUCAGGAGCAGGCCAGGAGAGACAGGGAUCAGGCUGACAUCAAUGCAGCCAUGCAGGCUAGGCAGGACGAGCUUCAGAGAUAGGUUCUAACCUUCCAAGAGCAGCAGCUUGCGUUCCAGGCUCAGCAGACGGCGAUGAUGGCCGCUCAUAUGGCCGCCUCAGGGCUUCAGCUUCCUCAGAUUCAGCUCCCAAGUACUUCGUCAGUCAGGCCUCCUACCCAGUGCCACAGAGUUAGUCCCAGCGGCCGCUCUAGCUCCCUGCUCAAAGUCAGCCAUUCUCGAUGCCACAACACCAGGUUUCUUAGGGUGCCAUCUCUUCUAGGUUUGAGCAGGUGCCUCAGUUCACGCCUCUACGCUCUGGUUUUACAGCUCAGUCAGCGACAGCGUCACAGCUUGUGUUGGAUUCGUCGGCAAGCCAGCACAUCAGUUUCUCUUACAGUGCUGUUAUUGGUGACCCUACGCCUUCACCGCUGCAGGCUCCUGUAGCUUUUACGGUCCCAGUUACCACCAUAGAGCGCCUAUCGUCAUCAGUAGCUUUGUUUGAGCAGCUUGCACCUUCCACUACCGUACCAGAGACGUCAGCUAUAGCGACAGAGUCCGUGCUAGCCUCGUCAGCAGGACUUGAGCAGCCAGCACAGCCCGUGACAGCUUCAGAGCCCAUAGAGCCGACCCAGACCGCUUCUCCAGCACGUGUAGCUUCAGAGGGUCACUCUACCUCCUCCGACUCGACGGCCGAUGGAUCAGACGACACAGCACAGUUUCAGGCCGUGCCGAGGGACUCUACUACUCCGCCUCCACCUCUGUCGUCUUAGGUUUUUGGCGCUUGAUGCCAAAGGGGGAGAGAGUGUGAGUAUGUAAGUUAGGGGGAGCUAGGGCUAGCUAGUGAUGGGGGCUCUUUGAUUAUUCUGUGUGCUAUGUGUGCUACUCCAUGCAUCAUAUUUACGUUUAUGCAUUGCAUUUGUGUGAGAUACUCUUGUGAGAUACUUUUAUGGUUGUGAGACAUGACUUUAUGCUUAUCUGUGAUAUCUGGGAUAUCUUUUUGUCAUGUGUUUGGCUCUUAUUACUUUGCUUCUGCGUUUUUACUCCGAUGUACUAUGAGCCAUAUGUGUUUGUAUCCUGUUGUAUACAUAUUUGGAUGCAGGAUGGUAGACUUGGUUGAUAUAAGCAUGCCUAAUCCCUUUGCUCUUAUUGUAUCAUGCUUAUAGAAACCAAGUCAUAUUGAAAACCUCAUUUUCUUUCAUACUCGAGGUCAUUAUCAUCAAUCACUAAAAAGGGGGAGAUUGAAAGAGCAUCUAGGCCCCUAAUGAUUUCGGUGAUUAAUGACAAUGUUGAUUACUGUGACUAACGUGUGUUUUGCAGAGGCAAAGUCAUCAUUGAGGUCAUGGUAAUAGGUACUCGAUGAACAGGGACGUACAUGCCUACUUAAUAGUGGAAAUCAUUUUGGUUUUCAAAGGAUGGAUGGACAUCGUCAAGACUAGACUAGGUCUAAGUGCCCUAUGGUGAAGAAGGGCACUUAGAGUAGUUUAGGACUUGGUUUUUCCUUUGACCGUACUAUUAAGAGGGGCUUUGAUCUAGUAGCUUGAGUUAGGCAAGGCUUUAGGUUUAGGUGUGGUGCACACUUGGUAAACCUAGCACUAGGCAGCUCAGAGAUAGUCCUUGGAUCAAGAGGAAACAACUUCGUUUUGGAACGGUCGUGUUUCGACGAAGUUAGGGUGCCUAAGUAGGCACCGGACGCUGCACCGGAUGCUCUGUGAGUGCGUCCGGUGACGUCCUUUAGCCGUUGAAGGUUUUGGUGCAUAGGGUUAGGCACCGGACGCUAGCACCGGACUCACCGGGUAGCGUCCGGUCCUAUACCCAGGGAGGUUGUAAACCUUCCCCGAGCACCGGACGCACCGGAUAGCGUCCGGUCUUAAACUCAGGGAGUUUGUAAAACUCCUAGGAGCACCGGACGGUGCCACUGGACGCUAUGGAGUAGCGUCCGGUGACCUGUCAGAGGCAGUACAGUUAGCCAUUGAAGUGUCACCGGACGCUUGACGCUCGGUGCAGAGCGUCCGGUGCAACAUCAACAGCGUCCGGUGACCCCGUUUUCAGUGGAAAACGGUUGGCUGGCCCUUGGACUUCGUGGGGUGUAUUUAUACUCCUCCACCUUGUCCAUGAGUGCUCUCUUGCCCAUUUGAACAUCUGAGAAACUUGUUGUGGAGCAAGAGAGUAGCAAGAGCCUAGAGAGGAUUGAGAUCUGAGAGAUUUCUUGUGAGAAUCCUUCUCUAGUUGAAUUCCAAGAGUCAAGUGUGCAUCCUCCACUCUCUAGUGCCUUGUUUGGGUCAAGUGAGAGUUCUUUGCUUGUUACUCUUGGUGAUCGCCAUCACCUAGACGGUUCGGUGGUGAUUGGAGGCACGAAGACCGCCCGGAGUUCUUGUGGGUGGCUCGUGUCAAGCUUGUGAGCGGUUUUGGGCGAUUCACCGCGACGGAGUGUCGAAGAAUCAGCCUGUAGAGAGCACUUGGUCCUUGCACGGACCAAGGGGGAACAAGACCCUUGCACGUGCGCUCCAACAAGGACUAGUGGAGAGUGGCGACUCUCCGAUACCUCGGCAAAACAUCGCCGAGCACUUUCUUCCACUACUCCUUUACUUUCUAGCAUUUACUUUGUGUUUUUACAUUCCUAGAAUUGCCAUGCUAGAAUAGGAUUGGAACUAGGUUGCAAAACUUUUAUCUGGUAGCUCCCUAGUCACUCUAGGCACAAGGGGUUGAAUUGGAGCUUAUAGGUUGCUUAAAUUUUAAGAGAAGCCCAAUUCACCCCCCUCUUUGGCAUCUUGAUCUUUUCAAGGACCUCUACUCUUGACCAUAUAUUUCCCUGACUACGGCACACAGCGGUUUUUUAUAACACCCUGCAGGUAUGAAGAGAAUGCUUUACAAUGUUUUAACCCCCAGAUAUUUUUCUAAACCAUCCUUUUCUCGAGAACGAGUAAAAGCCUAAGUAUGGGGGUGUUUGUUGACAGUUCUUAAGUAUCAAUUUUAAUCAUGAAAUAAAUAAGGAAAAGGACUAAUAUACAAACAACACCUAGAAUUAGGGUUUGAUCUGACAGAAUUCCACGAGUUUUGCUGUUUAUCUAUUUCUAUAGGGUGUUAUCAGGAAAUAUGGAAGAAAGGCCCACACAUCGGGUUUACAUAGAGAUAUUAACUUGUGCGCCAAUUUUCCUUAGUCUAGAAGGUUCCAGAAGCCACACGAACGAGCGGGAGGCCGAGCGGGCCCACAGGCAGGGCGCCCGCCCGGCCCCCCUGGGCGCCCGCCCUCCUCUGCUGGCCCAUCAGCACGAGUCUCGCGGAUUAUGCUCCACCACCUUUGAGGAUCAAGGAGAACCGUUCAAUCAAGGUCGGUUUGAUCAGAUGGCCCAGAUUCAUUUGAGAGGGCUAUAAAAGCAAGGCCCCUGGCCCCUAGAGAAUUCAAUCCCCAUUAUUCAUUAGCAUAUUUUCCAGAAAGGAUCCAGAGAGAGAGGUUCCUUUAGGGUUCCAACCUCAUAGGGUUUAGCAUCCAAUGUGAGAGUAGAAUUAGUUCUCCUAGAUUGAGAGAGAUAGAGUGGAGGUGUAGAUCGGAGGAAGCCUGGCCUGUCGGUGUCUACUCCAAGGUUGUACCUGCGGGAUCAAGUCUCCUAACCCGAGGCUUGCUCCUAGGAUUCUUUAGUAUUUCAACUUCUAAAUUUUAGUAAGUUCUUUGUUUUAUUGUUCUUUGGUUUAUGAGUUUACUUUGAUCUCUUCGCGUAGAGUUUAGAGUAAUCAUCUCUAGCGUAAAUGUGGCGUUUGGGCUAGGAUACUCAUAGAUAUCCCCUGUCUAGCCGGACCGUGGUAGUAGCGAGGAACGUGACAUUUCUGAGUUACCUUUGUAGCUCAUAAUCCCAUUAGCAGGAUCGAUAGGGUUUAUAGGUGCAGGUCGAACAUCCUCUGUGGUGUCUAGAUUCCGUGAGCCUCCCCAACAGAACAGUAGAUCAUCCUUACCAAGGUUAGAACGAGGGUGCAGUUGAAGUCUUCUCUAUACAUCACUCACAUUGAGUCAUAGUGGUUGUAGCCUAAAAGUUAGUAGUAAUAGACCUGGUUAGUCAGAUGCACGCUUUCUCCUAGUGGUAAAAAUAUAAAUACGAUACUCUAGAUGACAUCUCGGGUGAAGUGCUCACCGAUAUCCGUGCGCUUGUGGAUUAAUUCCUGAUUGUGUAACCAAAUAUAAACAUUUAACACCAUGUCUUGUUUGAUUAAGGUAGUCUAUUUAAUCUAAGCACCAUGCUUAAUUUAAAAAUACUAUGGAGGUACUCACUCGAGCGAUUAGUAUAACCAAACCAAAGCAUACUAACAUAGAAAGAGGGAACGUGAUAGGUUGAACAAGAUUCAUUAUACUAGAGACAAGAUAAUGAGUGAUGAAGACAAGAGGCAAAUAUUUUUUCUUUUAUUAUUAUUAUUAUUUAAUUUUUAUAUGCAAGGCAAUGCAAAGUGGAGGAUAAAUGCAUUUAAACAAAUAUGUUGUGGUUAAAAUAAAGAUUAAAAAAAUAAAUAAGUGAUAUGCAUGAACAUCUAGGCUUUAGCUUUUUCCUGUGGCGUGGCCCGUCCAAAGGACAUCAUCAUACCGACUACUAAAGCCAAUAUAUGAGCCGAGAUGUUCCCAUUUAACAUUCGACUACCACAAGCUAAACUAGGAGCCCAAAUAGGUAGACAACAAUAAAAUUGUUGUCUAUCUAGACUAGGUAUGAUGCCCGAAUACAACUCAAAGACUAGGAGCUACCCAAAAAAGCACUAGAUUUAUGCAAUAUUAAGCAAACAUGCAGUGGAAAGGAUAAAAAGAAAAGAAAGGUAAAAGAAGGAUAACUCGGACGACUUGGUUCUAAGUUAGAUCAGCUACCGAUCCCCGGCAACGGCGCCAGAAAUGCUUGUUGACUCUUCUUAGUGUCACUACCUAGGAUUGUCAGUCCUUGGCACAGCACUAGAAAAUGCUUGUGUGACACCAGAAGUGGCAAACAGUUUUACCGCAAGCGGAUGGUGGUCAAUGUAGCACUUCACCAGGAGUAUUCCAGGUAUCGUAUUUUCCACAGCGAAUGAGAAGUGACUAACUAGACCAAUUGAGUCAUCAGAUGACUAUCAAAGGGCUUAGGAUUGGGUGGAGAGGUAUUUCUAGUAUUUGGCUUCUGGCUAAGCUAUGCUAAGUAUACUGAGAUUUAACUCCCUUCCUACUGUGGCCGAUAGGUGAAAAGGGUGUGGUGAAACACUUCCCUAGGCAGCUACCAUGCAGGCCAACUAUUAUUUGCAACUUGCCUAACAACACGCUGAAGAGAACUCCUAAUGUCCAGCAGAGGCCUGUCACGCUUCGCUGCUGGCGUUCUUCAGGUGCGACAAGAAGUCCACAAGGGCAGACUUAGUCUAGACACCACGUCUACACUAAUUCUACUACUCUAGACCCAGCUAAGGUUUCGAGUACUUCACACAAGACAAAGCAAUGUGCCAGUAGGCCGGUUGUAUACUUAAAAUAAACUAAGAUAGAAAGUAAAUACUGGAAGUACUCAGAUGAAAGGCAACUAGAAGGAACACUUACUAGAAGACAAGCAUCCGCUGAGGCGCUCUUGGAAGAAGACUCCCGACAAGCCGGGACUCUGAAAGGUCCUAAUAUGGCUAGAGGGGGGGUGAAUAUCCUAUUUAAAAAUUCUACAAACUCACUGGAGCAAUAGGUUAGUAAAUAACAAAGCGAAGCUUUUUGCUCUAGCUCUAAAGGGGUGCACUACAAGAAACACAUGGCUUUUUAACGUUUAGUUAUGUCACAAUAUAUGGAAUUUAUGUUACAAAUUAAGAUUUGUGACAUCAAGUUGACAAAAAUCAAAACGUGGAAAAGCCCGCGUCAUAAAAUGAUUAUGUGACAUUUGUUUGGUUCAUGUCACAAGCAUAUGACAUUGGUUUAUUGUCACAAAAUCGUAGGCCUUGCCAUGUGGCAGCUGACAUGGCAGGGAAAAAAAUGUCACAAACACUAUAAAAAAUGUCACAACCAUCAUAAUCUAUUACACGUCAGUAGGUUGUUAUGUCCCAUUAUUCAUGCCCAUGUGUUUGUGGCACGCUCAUGAAAUACACAUAAAUUGGAAGAAAGCUCACGAUUGACAAAAUAUUGGUCAUCUUUUCAUUAAAACCGUCAACAUUUGUACUUGUACAAUUUUUCAUAAGAAAUACAAAGACAAUAAGCAAGCUACACGCAAGUAGCUACAAAACUAAGAGGGUAGCUUGCACAAUACAACUCAUAUGAUUUGCUUGCAUAACAAAAUCUUUCAAAAAUAGCCACUAUGAGCACUUUGAUCCUCUUGCUGCACCAGUGUACAUCUAAGCUCAUUCUGACCUGAAAACCAAAGGUUCCAUUUAUCACUAAUGCAGUCUAAACAAAGUUAUAUGGAAAGGUGCCAGAGGUAAAAAAUCUUGAAAACUUAGAAGCAGAUUCUCCACCACGACUUGGUAUAACAAGGCAUAUAUAACUACUGUUUUUUUUUUCUUUCAUGCAAACUUUAAGCAACAAAAUUGUGUUUCCACAUCAGCAAAUAGAACUGAACCAAUGUUAAGUGGCUAUGUAUACAGACAAUGUAAAUCAUCAAUAAAGAAACUAGCUAGUAGUAACAGAGGAGAAAGACAGAGAGAAAAUUUAGUAGUAACAGAGGAGAAAGACCGAGAGAAAAUUUUAUAGAAAUGAGUUCAAGAUUCAGAUGUGUGUGCACAAGAAAGAAUUAUGGUUCAUCUAACUUUUGGAAUAGAUGCAGACUCAAGAGAUAUCUCCUACAUGCACACAAUACUGAAAUUUGAGAUAAAAACCUACAAAUCGAACAAACUAUUAGAGUCUCUCUAUCAAUCUGUAAAUAAAUUAGGGAUCUAGGAGGUUCAGGCUUGGGCUAACCUGCAAAUCAUGGGGACAGAAAAACAGGAACAACUGGACAAGUAAGCAGUGCCAUCCUGCUGCCGUGCGAUGAUUUGCUUAUUGCAUAUCUGUUGACAGCACAGAAAGAAAGCAAACAACUUGUUCUGGAUGGAGUAGCUCCGUGCUCAUGCUAGAGGAAGAACUGAAAAAGCUUUAAGAAUAUUAGUGUUUAAAAUCCUUGGCUGAUCCAAAUUUAUAGCAGCACCAACACGCAGAAUAGAUUUCAAAAAAAAACGUGCAGAAUAGAGGCACAACAAAUGUUAACAGGAACAGAUUUGCACUCUAUACAUGACCCAACAACUCUUUAUAUUAGACAGUGGAAAAAAUGACAAUAAUUCUCAGGCAAGCAACUCCUUGUAUUAGAUUAUUUAGUAAACUGAAACUCAAAAUGAGAAAUCAUGUAUGGCUCAUAAUUAAAUUAAAGCAAGAGCAAGCAGCAAAGUUGCAUAUGCAUAGAACAAAAUGGGUUUCUCUGAUUACAACUAUCCCUACAUAAAAAUUUCCAGAUAAUGCUAGAUCCCUACAACCUAUGAAGUCAAUAAAUUACUUUAUGAAAGGGAAAAAAUAAUACAAAGCAUGUAUCUUUUAAGUCAAUGAAUCCAUAUGAAGUGCAGGCACCAAUCAGAUAGAGGGGAAUGGGAAAAUCAUACCUACCAGAACAUAAAAGAUCAAAGCGCUACUUCACUGCAUCCUGAAAGAAUCUGCUUGAACUCUCUGUAGUUCAAGGAGUACUUCCUCGUUGAGCCGGGUUAUUCAGCACCUUUUGCAGCACAUGAAAAUAAACCUGGAAAUGACAUGAAAAUUGGCAAUCACGCAGCUCAUAAGCAGAGAUAAAAUAUUGUAAGGGAACACGCGACAUAAGCACCUAAUUUUUGCAAACUCUAACCAUGAGCAAUCAUCAAAACUUUAAAUAAUGUAAUGCUAUGGGUGUUGAGAAAAAAUUCCAAACAGAGAAGAUAAUGUUCUUGUACUCAACAGUUUCACAUGAAUCCUGCAAAUAUAAGCCAGUCCUACCAUUCUAUCAUUGAAAUGCAAGUCAUACUAUAAGUCAAAAACAGAUAAAUUUCAUAUUACUAAUUUCAGGUCUAUGUCAUAUUACUAACUUUAGGUAUAUUUCAUAUUACUAACUUCUGAUAUACAGAGGAUGCUCCAAAAAGGAUGGAAUAUUAUUCAAAAGCCCACUAUUUGUCAAGUACUAAAGCUCCAAAAAUGAUUUUACAGUGCUUGAUAGCCAAAUGAUGCAUCUAGACAAUUCACAUAUGAAGGGAGGUGGCAUACCUUGCUGCCCUGAAUGGAGUAGCCUUUGAACCUUUGCCUUCCUGGUGCCUGGUGCCAGAGAGAGGAAACUCUGAAAAGGAGAAAUAAUAGGUCAGUCCAACUGUCCAAGAUCUAGGCGGCUAGGAGGGAAAGGAAAAGGCAGUGGCCAGUGAGAGAUUCAAGCUGCAGCCGUCUGAUUCAUUGUUCCAUGAACAAAGCCGAUGACAGAUCUGGUUCGUGCAAACUUACCCAAAGACAAAUUGGAGAGACGUCACCGGAGGAGGACGAUUCCUUGGCUGGUGGAGACGGAGAGGACGAGAUUACAGAGGCAAGCCGACUUGAGGGCGAGGGCGACCUGACAUUGGGGCGCCGUCCAGUACUCCAGUGAGGGCGGCUAGUAGUGAGAGCAGAGGGCGGGUGUGUCCUCUGCAGGAGGGCACGGUGGCUAGGGGCUGGGUGCUGGCGAGUGGCCGCCGGGCAGAGGUUGGACUUGCUGACGCCGGAGUCGCCGAUGAGCACCACCUUGAAGAGGUAAUCGUACUCGUCCUCCGCCCGGUACCCACCUCCAUUGGCAGCCAUUGCUUUCCUUCCCCUCCACAGGCAGUGAGGCCGCCGCUGGUGUCCUUGGGACAGGGGUGGCCGUGGGUGAGAAGGGACGCAAUAGGGAUGUGCGGCGGCUGGUGGAGAGGAGGGGCCGAGAGAGGAAGCUGGGUGGUGGGGUUAGGGUUUUUGUACCUCAUUUAUAUAUGUGAAUACGUAUUGAGCUCUGGGUUGGAUAUCCAUUAGGGCGGGAUGGUUUUUAAAAAUAGAAAAAAAAGAUUUUAAUACCAAAGAAGGCCCACUGGCUAAUCGUCCGUCCGCCUCCGUCGAAGUCGCAAGUCUCGCAUUUAUUCGCAUAAAAUCGCGUGCUACACGGCCAGUGGGAUUCGAACCUGAGACCUUGUCCUCGCAUGUAGCCUCCUCUACCACUACACCUAUCACUCAAUUAUGUCUAUAUUAGAGUUUAGUUCUCCACAUAUUAUCCUAAACCGAGCAUAUAUUGAUUAUUUGAGGCCCUAAACGGAUUCCAAUGGAAAAGUUAUCAACUACAAAGUUCCAUAAAUUUCAAGAUCUACAACUUUUAUAUUGGUAGUUUCUCCAUCUGAGAUCAUUUAUAAAAUUUGAAUUUUAAAAUUGAGAAAUUCAAAUGUAGUUUUCGACGACAAGAUGAUUUCAAAUGAAAAAAUUAUCAACUAUCAAGUUUCAUAACUUUUCGAGAUCUACAACUUUCAUUUUGAUGGUUUUUUCACAGACGGUUAUUGACUUGGGCCCACCAAUUUAUUUUUAUAGGCGUUCUUUAUUUGAAACCGCCUGUAAAAAUUAAAUUCCACCGCCAGGAUAGAGCUUCUUUGUACUAGUGUAUGUUAUUGAAACUUUUUAAUAGUUAUUUUCACUUUUAUAAUUUUUUAAAAAAUAAAAUAGACAAAAACAUGGAAAACAUGUGUUGAUGUGGCCUAUAUCAAGUGCAAUAGGUGGCCCAACUACAAGACAAAAAAUAUAAAAAAACAUGUGUCGACGUGGCAAAAGACCUUGUCAACAUGGAAAGUUUUUAAAAAAUUUUAAUAAAAUAACUUGUGACACACAAAUAGGCCUGGUGACAUAGAAAAUAUUGUCACUAGAUGAAAUCAGACUUAUUAAAUGACAUUUAUUGUGACAUACAACUUUUCAUUGUCACUAAGUCACUAUGUCUAAAAUAUAAUGUCACAAAAUGGAUGAUAUAGUAACAUUCUUACAAUUGUCAUACUAAAAAUGUUAAAAAGCCAUGUAUUUCUUGUAGUGGUGUUUGCAAGCCACCUAUCCCACAAUUCUAGUUGAUAUAAUCACUAGGCAUACAAGAGCUAUGUCACAACUUACACUAGAAAGCUACCUAAAGUUUCUAUACAAGUAAGUAAGCUACUCUAGUUUGCGGGAAUGUAAAAGAGAGGAUGAGAUAUUUAUACCACCAAGUAGGGGAUGAACCAAUCACCAAUAUAAACAAUCAAGCACCGGGAGAAUGCCAAUCAAACACAAUUGAGACACCAAUUUUUCUCCCGAGGUUCACGUGCUUGCCGACACGCUACGUCCCCGUUGUGUCGACCAACACUUGGUGGUUCGGUGGCUAAGAGGUGUAGCACGAACCUCGUCCUCACUAGGACACCACAAGAACCUACCCACAACUGAGGUACCUCAAUGACACGAGCAAUCCACUAAUGUUGCCUUUGGCACUCCGCCAAGGUAGGCAGAAACCUCUCACAAUCACCGGGAGAUGGCCACGAACAAUCACCAACUCGUGUCAAUCCUCCUCCGCUGCUCCAAGCCGUCUAGGUGGCGGCAACCACCAAGAGUAACAAGAAAACCGCAGCUAGAACGAUCCCCAAGUGCCACUAGAUGCAAUCACUCAAGCAAAUGCACUUGGAAUCACUCCCAAUCUCACAAAGAUGUUCAAUCUAUGGAGGACAUGAGUGGGAGGAGUUUGCUUAGGCUCACAAGAAUGUUAUGUAUGCUAGAAUGCCAAGAGAGUGAGCCUUAAGCCAGCCAAACACGUAUAUAUAGCCCUUCAAACAAAUAGAGCCGUUGGCUCUUUCAUUGGGCAAACAGUGGGGUCACCGUAUGCUCUUAAAGGGGCACCAGACGCUGAACACCUGCGUCCGGUGCUCCAAAGUCAGCCGCGUGUCAGAGUCUAACGGUAACCUGUAGAGCACCGGACGCUGAGCAAGUUGGCACCGGACGCGUCCGGUGCACAACGGUCUUAAGCACAGAGAGGUCUGCAAAACGCGUAGGCCACCAGACGCUCCAAGCUGCGUCCGGUGCUCACCGGACAGAAACUCAGAGAGCUCUGCAAAACGCUCAGGUCACCGGACUCACACCACCAGACGCUCCAAACUGCGUCCGGUGCCUAGCGUUCGGUGCCUAGCCCUAACGGAGCCAGGCUGCCUGCACACCGGACGCACAUGCACAGCGUCCGGUGCUUCUGUGCUAGCGUCCGGUGACCCACGACUUCUCCGAAAAUCCCACCGGCGCAAUAGAAAAAAUAUGCACUUCAUUUUCUCAAAAAGCAUCGAAUCCCGCCUCGCAAGCUCGGCGGGAGGGAGAGAGGAACCCAUCCUCUCUCUACCUUUCAAGCUCCAUCUCCUUCUCAAGUGUGCCAACACCACAAAGUGUAAACCAACUUGUGCACGUGUGUUAGCAUUUUCACAAUCAUUUUCUUCGAAGGAGUUAAGUUAGCUCACUAGGUUCUAAAUGCAUGCACAUGAAUAAUGACACCAAGUGGCACUCGAUAACCGCUUAGCCAAAGAAUUCCCCUCUUUAUAGUACAGCUAUCUAUCCUAAAUGUGAUCACACCCUCUAUGGUGUCUUGAUCACCAAAACCAAAACCUUAAGCAAUACCUUUGCCUUGAUCUCCAUAUGGUUUUGUUUUUCUCUUUCUUCUUUUCCAAGUUGAGCACUUGAUCAUCUUGUGGUCAUCACCAUCAUCACCAUGAUCAUCACUUGCUCCAUCACUUGGCAUGUACCAACCUCAUUAAGUCUACACACUUAGCAUAGAGGUUAGUACUAGGGUUUCAUCAAUUAUCCAAAACCAAACUAGGGCUUUCAAUCUCCCCCUUUUUGGUAAUUGAUGACAACCCUUUUUACAAAGAUUUUCAAUAAAAAUUUUCUUGGAUUCAUGUUGCUUGCCCAUGCAUUUUACCAUGUGCAAAGGUUAUGGACAAGUUUCAUAAACCCAAAUUGGUAGCAAUUGCUCCCCCUACAUAUGUGCUAAGAGUUUGGAUUUGAAAACUUGCACAUAUGCUUGAAUAAGAAAUAUAGGAGACAAUUUCUACCGUAUGAUGCUAAGGUGUAAAGAAAGGACCUUUGAAGCGUGAUACCAAUCGGAGUUGCCAAUGUACACCAUCCUUAGCACCAUUAGUAACUAGACAUUCACAAAACUAGAACACCCCAUGAGAUCAAUCAUUUUAAACAAGGUUCUAGUACCACUUGUGAAACAACUAAAAGUCUAGUUACACUACCUAUGCAUGCUAGCUCUUCAUUUCAUCAAUCAAGCCUACAACUAGCAUACACCACACAAGCAAGGCAUUGGAGUGAAAGUUUCUAAAGCUAAUGCUAAUGCAAGCAAACAUAUGUGAUGCACAUUCAAAUGCAACAUACAAAGUUUAUGAGCUUGCUCCCCCUACUUGUGUGCUUCAAAAUUUUAAUUGAUCCCCUUCUUUUAUCAUGUUACUCUUAAAUCUUUGGGAAAUUUUCUCCCCCUUUGUCAUCAAUGACCACAAAAGGUGAGCUCAAAUUUUAGAUAGGUUAGUGUGAAACUAUGUGAAGUGAGAUCAUUUUCCCAAAUUGGUCCAAUCUAGAUUACUUGCCUAAGAUAUUUAACUCGGUUUGAUCCAAGGACAAGCUUCUUCACACCUCCAAAUAAGGGUUAUCUUGUACCAUGUUGAGUUAAAGACUUAUAGCUCAUAUUCUAGAUCAAACACUAGGAUUGCAAGCCCAAAAACAUGUCAUAUGCUACCACUAGAUCAAGUCAAGCAUAGAAGCAAUAGUGGUACCAUACAAGCAUCAGGUUCAUUUGAUUUUCAUGAAUGAUCCUAAGACAUGUAAGGAAUGACUAGAUGCACUAAGCAAGUCCUUAGCAUAGGAUGAAUGAUAUGUCAAACAAUUUUACCUUGCUUUGCUUGAAGGAGAGGCAUGUCAUAUAGUGGGGGUGCUUCAACACAUAUUUGAGAAGUCAAGUAUGUUCAAUUCAUUGCUUAGCUUGCAAAACCUCUUCUCAUCAAGUGACUUGGUGAAUAUAUCGGCAAGUUGAUCAUCGGUGCCUAUACUCUCAAUGCAAAUGUCCCCUUUUUGUUGGUGAUCCCUUAUGAAGUGAUAGCGGACAUCUAUGUGCUUUCUUCUUGAGUGUUGAUCCGGAUUGUUGGUGAGCUUCACGGCUGUUGACGGUCCUUAAGUACCAAAUAUAAUCAUCAAAUAAAUAAAGAAAAGGAUCCAAAUGCAACCAACACCCAGUGAAGUAAGAAGAGAGUAGAGAGGAAGAGAAGAGUGGGAAAGAAGUUGGUAGUUUUUGAGUGAGAGAGUGAGCUUCACCUAGUAAGUAGUGAUCCCGCUGUCCAAGCGGAAGUAAAAGUUGUUUAGGGGGAGGUGCUGCCAAAAUAAAAACUUGACUUGAACGACUAACCCCUAGACUACUAACAUUCCAGACAGCUAACCACUAACAUUUUCUCUCACAUUUUCCACUAGUUGUGUCUUUGCCAACUUUUGUCUGCAGGAUGUUCAAGAAGGUGGAGAACGCAGGGAAGGCUCUCAAGAACAUAGGUACAAGGAGUUCAUGCCAACACUCCUCUCACCCAUCAGAGAUGAGCGUCGAUUCGACGCCCACACAAGCUCCGUCAUCUUCAUCUAAUCAGCAAGUCAAGGUCCUUCUUAAGAUAGGAGACCUUGGACUAAAGACCCGCAGGGAAAAGGAAGUCUACCAGCAACUAAAGAACAAAGAUUUCAUUCACACCCCUACUCUUGAUCCCAUCCUGCUACAAGAAACAGGUAUGGAUACUGAAAUCGACUUAAUUUUCUAGAUGUUAGGUUGGACAAAUUUUUGGAACAUAACUGAGCAGGGUUCUCGUCUUCUCACCCUUGAAUUUCUUUGCACUUUAUAAUAUUAUGAGGGGGGAAUUGUUUUUCGGAUGUUCAAACAGGAGAUUAUGUUGUCUUGGAGAGAACUGAGCGACCAUCUUGGUCUCUCUUCAAGAUGCAUACUGAACAUUGACCCUGACCUACCCAAUUUUGAGAGACACCAGUUCUGGAGAGAGAUAUCUAGAGAUAAUUUUUAUAGUCAAGCCCGAACUAGUGACAUGGAACACACUACUCUUAGGAUGUUCCACAAAUGGCUUGGGUACAAUCUUUUCUAUCGUGAUGAUAUUAGGAAAGUAAGAGUAGGAGAUUUACAACUUCUAUAUGCUGCUAUUAAUAAAGUACCAACUUCACCUGUUACACUUUUGGUUUCUCAUUGGCUUAGUAUACCUAGUCUUCAGGGACCUGUAGGAUGUACUUCACUUAUCACUCGUCUAGCCUCUAAUCUUCAUUUACUAGAAAACUCGUCAUUGGAAUUCAUUGAUGAGUUACGAAUUUAUCAUGGCUAUGACACAUUUAGACAAGCUCGGAUGUUAAAGAAAGAGGGGAACAUAAUGUAUAUGCUAUAUGACAAUAAAGGCAAGAUUCGGUUACCUAACCCGAACCUUGGCCUCUAUGUUGUUCAGAAUUUUUUGAUUGAGAUUACAGUGACACCGGUAGACCAGAGAGCUCCACAACGAGUGGCAUCUGAAUGGAUGACCACCCAUCAAGAACGCACCUGGUAUGGAGCUUAUCCCUGGCCGGAAGAAGUAGCGCACCUGCAUUAUUGCGACUACAACCCCCGAGUCCUUCGAGACCCAUGGGUUCGACAUGCGCAACCACAAGAGCCAACACAGGAGACAUGGCCGGAGGGCCAAGAUCACCAGUGGACAAACCCGCCUUUUCAUACGGGCAGGUACUCCACUGAUCCAUGUGGAGCUUCAGGAUCCAGACCUCCGCCCCAAUUCGAUGCAGGACGAUACUCCGACGCCUCCUACGCUUUCACGAACGACUACUACCAAGAGGCCGGUGCUUUCUUCACCCGUACCGACAACACUCGCCUCGACAUCCAGAACACGCAAGCAGAACAUGGACGACUCCUGGAACAGCAAUAAAAAUGGAACCAGGACCACGCCACUGCAAUACAAGAGCUGAGACAAGACACCACGACAAUGAACGACAACAUCACCACCAUGAUGCGAUUCUAGAAUAUUGAGUAAGACCGACAUCAACAUCCAGCUUGGGGGAGUUCCUUCCCAAUUUAUCAAGUAAGUUUUGAUUUGCUUUUCUUAUUUAUUCUUUUCUAUUUUAGUGUUUUACUUAAAGAGAAAAACUUAGAAAACCCAAUAAAUAUUUUCUUGCUUUAAAUUACUGCGUCCUAUAAACAUGAAAACAAAAUAAAAAGAGUGUGUAGAUAAGUGUGCUUUAUUUUUCUACUAAGUAUUAAUCUCUAGAAAAAUAUAAAAGACCAAAAAGAUACAUGAUGGAAAUGAUGAACAGUUGCUCUGUUUGCUUACUUUCAAGUACCUAGCUUUUAUAUUAGAGUUCUUCCAGGAAUUACUAAAACUGAAAUUACUAUCUAUGGGAUACAUAAAACUAAAAUCUAGGUAAGAGAAAGGCAUGAUAUAAAGUUUGAGUUGCUGUUUAUCUUGUUCCUACUACACUAAGUUCUGGAAAUUUAUAUUGGAAACUUACAAAUCACAUGAUGAGUUCCUAGCAUAACAAACUUCCUACCACAGCCAUACUUCCUAUAACAUAUUUUACUAUAUUACAUUGAGUUUGAUCGAGCUGUGUAGACCCUUAGGAGCUUUUCAUGUGGUUAAAUUAAGAUAUUCACUUGCACACAUCUACUACACCAUCCACCACCACCUAUUAAAAAUUGCUAAAAAAAUAUUAUCACUCACUGUCCCAAAUGUUGUUAUUCUCUCUCUCUCUAAAAAGAUUCAAUGCAGAAGAGGCAUGGGUUAUGCAAAAAUAUGCGAGGAAAUAAAAAGGAGCAAGUGCCCGGAACCUCGAAAAAGAAAGAAAAAGAGUGAGACAAGAGGUAAAAAUGGACAAGUGUCCGGAGUAGAAUUAGGGGUACAAAGAUGCCCACUAGAGCGGAAAAAUGGACAAGUGUCCGAUAGUAGAAUUAGGGGUGUCUACUACCCACCUGAAAAAAAAGAGAAAACAUAGCCCAUGUUCUCCCAAAGCAAAGAUCAAAGAAGAGGAGAGAUAGCAAUA
rnacentral:lncRNA from 1 species